CCCGGAUCCCGAAUCUCCGCGGCGUAUCUCCCCCACGGCCGCUUCCUCACUCCCCUGUAAUGCAUCUCCACCGCUGAUGAGUUCUUCGUCGCCUUCGUCUCCUUCGCCGCCUGAGGCGCCCUUUCGAGGGUAUCAGAUCUGGAGGCGGGGGGGGGGUAUGGGGCGGGGAUCAGAUCUGGAGGCGGUGGGAAAUUUCGGUGGUGUGUGUGGUAAUUUAAUAGGAAGAGGAAGGUCCGUUUUAUAGAGGGAGGGUCAAGGGGAGGGAUGUUGACUGGAUGGGGAGGCCGCCGCCCAAGCAAGGAAAGCGUGGGGACAAAACUAGAGGGAAAAUUUUAAAAAUUUAAUAAAACAAAUAUAAAGAGGAUGAGAGGGGUGAUGGUGACGUGGCGAGCGGUGAUCUCAAGACAAGCGGCGGGGAUGGGAUUUAUAUCCUGAAAGGAACCGAACCUGGAGCCUGCCGGAUCUAUACGUAACCGAAAAUAUUAUUCCCCGAAGUUAAAAGGCCAAACCUAGUUAACGCCGUUUACUUGCCGCUUUCUUGACUUUCUUUUCCAAUUUUUUAUUUAAAAUUGUCAUUGAAGUCAUUACUUAUUCGGUAACUAUAGCUUCGAUCCUUGUACUAUGUGUGGUUUACAAUUAGAGCUGAAAAAAUGUUGGCCCGACCUGGCGAGCCCGCCUGACCCAACACAACCCGUGACUCGAUUGACUAGAAAGUCAACAACCUGUAACCAGUGACCCAACGUGCCCACGAUCCGACGAGCACACGACCAGACGAGCCCUAAACCCGACUAACCCGACCCGAGACCUGCCAGUCCGCCCAUUUAUCGGCUUUAUUUACAAUUGAACUGCUCACAUGCUAUUAAUGGGUUGUGUAAUUAAUUAAGUUGGAUCAUUUAGUUCAGCAUGAUAUCAAUAACGUUUUAUUUUUUAUAAUGUAGAAUACUCAUACACACGGUAAGUGACUUUUGAACCACCAAAUGGACAAUAUAUCACACUACUCUACAAUGUAUAUUGCCCUAUAUUGUACCGUUCUUAAUUUCUGAUCUUCAUCGAAACCUCUAGGAAUGAUCACUUGUCGGACCUCGUUACUAAUAGGUAUAAAAGAAGUACUUAAAAGUAUAUUCGAGCGGGGUAUUACUAACUCGAUUUAGAAAACUCAUAUUUAAAUUAAACAGGUGUAUAAUUNNNNNNNNNNNNNNNNNNNNNNNNNNNNNNNNNNNNNNNNNNNNNNNNNNNNNNNNNNNNNNNNNNNUAUAUAAAAACAUUUUGUUUUGUGAAUGGAAAAUUAGAGGAGAUACCCACGUAGCCCGUCACUAUCUGCAUUCUAAUUUGGCGAUGGAGAGCAGCUUAGUUAAUUAACUAGUCUAUAUAAGCUAAAACUAUAACCAACAAAUGACAAUACAAAAUUAGUUGGCCAUAUUAUCUAAUUAUUAAUUGAUUAGUUUUAUGAAGUAGAUCAUUAUAUUACUAUAUAAUUCUUCACUUACAAAACCUAAGCUUAAACGGUUGAAGUUGUUUGGCUAAUAAAUCGAUUUGUAUGUUGAUAAUUCGGAUGUAUGGUUUUAUAUACUCUUUACAAAUAGACACUAAUUAGUGUAAUGUUUUUUUUUCUUAUACUAAUUAAGAGGUUUAGUCUGACAAAAAAUUUAAUACCAUAAAAAUACAUUGGUCGUUUUGGCCGCAGAAUUCUAGGUUAGCCCUCGUUCGACUCGGUUGUAUGUCUUUAAAUGUCUUCCAAGUCAUAACACAUACUUAUUAUAGUAUGGUUUGCGGCCGGAUCAAAAUUAGAUUAUUCCAAUAAGGAUUAUAACCCAAAUUAAUAAUAAUUAAGGAGUCGGGUGGCUGGCUGAUGGUGCUGGGUUUGGAUAUUUGCAGACUAGAUAUGGAUUUUAUUAAUUAAUUAAUUUUAAUUUCCUCAUAGUUGCCGCCUAAGCUUAAUUAACUGUGGCGGAUUUCAGUUCUUGUCGCAUACGCUGUUUUAUAAUAUUGGGUUGUCGUGGUGUUUGGUCAUCCUUCUUUUAAAUAAAUCUGUUAAUAAUUAUAGUUAGUUGUCUAAUUCAUAAUUAAUUAAGUACUACACGUAGUUCCUUUUGUUAAAACUUCAAAUAAUUCAACGUUACAAUCGAACGGUGGGGUUUUUUUACUUAAUUGGGAGCUCAUUUUUUUUGGUUUACUGUAUAGUUUAUGGAUUUUGUUUGUGUGUUUGUGUUUGUCUGAAAAUCCAUAAAAGAAAGGAUAAUCAUAUAUAAUUAUAAAAAAAAAUGUUUUAUCGAAGUGGUAGUUUUAUUCGUUUAUAGUCUGGAGGUUUUGAAUUCGAAUUUAGAGAAAUGUGCAUCUUAUAAUCCUCAUUGUAUCGUAGCAUAUCCGAUUUGUUUACAUAAGUACUUGAUUGCAGCAACAAUUAUCCUUUUGAAUUAGCGUGAUUUUGCAUUUAUAUAAAGUUGUAGGUAAUUAUGAGGUAAUCGAAAUGGUAACUAGUUUUAUUUGUUUGGAGGUUCCAAAUUUAAACACCAGAGAGCAUAUCCUCAUUAUUCUAAUAUAUUCUCAAAUUUAAAAAUUGGAUAUCCACACAAAACUCAUUCUAUUUGUGCGGGUAGAACUCGAUUAACAUAGGUAACGGACGGGGAUGAGUUUGAUGGUAUUCGCCUCGUAACCUAUAUUUGAUGUACAUUAAUGAAUAAACAAACAAGUAAUGAAUACAUUAUACCAUACCCGGCCGUUAAAAACACUCCAUACCCGGCCGUUAAAACCACUUGAGAAAACGGCUAAUUGUAACUAAUUCAUAAAUUAUAUAUGCCGCCGGGCGCCGACUACUUACUUAGACAUCAGUAUUCAACCUCUUAUUUUCCUUCCGUUCUCACUAGCUUUUUUCCUUCUCAUUUCUUCAAACGCGUCUUUGUCCGUACCGAUGGAAACUUCCAUAGUAAUAAUCUCGACCUCAUCUUUCUCUAGUAUAUUACAUGUCCAAAUGUACGGUCCUGAUCGCUCCUCCUCUGAUUCGCCAAGCUGAUCAACUACGUAGCUAGCUAGCCAGUAGCCCUCCAACGUCAGUCAUUUCUUUAUUCAGCCGAGUAACAUCAUCAAUUAACAUGAUUUUUCACUUUAAGAUGGAUGAGUACACCGAGAAAAAAUAAAAUAUUAUUAGAAUUUUAGUAAGAGUGACGGCUUAGUUACAAAUAAGGAAAUUAACGCUUCUUAUAUACAUAAGGGUUUCGAUUAACCUAUAAUUAUAAUGAAUCUAACUCGAUCUAUUAACACUCUGAGGCAGCUUGAAAGAGAGGGUACUUCAGAGUACUCGAUGCAACGGGAUUUUCGUUGAUAUUUCAUUCGUUAUAGGGUGCUUUUCUUGCUAUGUGUAUCAUCAUUCACUCAUUCGUUAUAUGAAGCCGCCCAAUUUGAGAUAUGUACAUUUGGAUUUAAUUGACGAAAUGUUUGACGUACAUUAGUAUAGUGUGCAUGCUCUAGUCUAAUUAACUAUAAGUACGUAGUUCCAUUUGUUCAAACUUCAAAUAAUCCAACCUUACAAUAGAAGGGUGCAUUUUUUACUCGGGAGGAUUCACUCUAUUUCGGCACGAUAAAAAACCUUAUAUUAUACUUUAAUUUAAAGGGUUUAAUAUAGUGAAAUUUCAAUUUUUAAUCAUUCUCAACAUGCAUGUUAAAUAUUAAACCUCAUCGAUGAAGAAUCAGCCACGUAACGUAAUUUUCAUCAAAACAAAUUAAAGUUGAUCCCACGAGGUGGCCAACAUUAAGAAUGCUUAAUGGAAAAUUGUAUAACCUUAACGUCUGUAGACUACAAGGAAACCAGUUAUUAGUGACCAUUUUGGCUUUUAAAAAAACAUUAUAUAAAUUUUAUAUUAAUUAUUUUUUAUUAAUUAUAUUUAAUGAAGUAUGGUUAUCAAAAUAAUCCAAAAUUCAGCUAUAAAUAAAAAAUAUAGCAAAUAAGAAAUUUGGUAAUUUUGGUAAAUAAUGGCAAAAAAAUGAAAGUUAAAAAAUAAUUUUACUCAGGUGUUAUUUUAGCAUGUUUAAAAAAUAUUUUUUAACUUCAUUUGACUAUUAUUUGAAAGGUUUAACAUGGUAAAACCUCAAUUUUUAACCAUUCCCAACAUGCUUCUCAAAUAUUAUUCAAUUUGAAGUUAAAAAAUAAACCUCAACGAUGAAGAAUCAGCCACGUAACGUAGUUUUCAUCAAAACAAAUUAAAGUUGAUCCCACGAGGUGGCCAACAUUAAGAAUGCUUAAUGGAAAAUUGUAUAACCUUAACGUCUGUAGACUACAAGAAAACAAGUUAUUAGUGACCAUUUUGGCUUAUAAAAGACCAUUUUAUAAAUUUUAUAUUAAUUAUAUUUAAUGAAGUAUGGUUAUCAAAAUAAUCCAAAAUUCAGCUAUAAAUAAAAAAUAUAGCAAAUAAGAAAUUUGGUAAUUUUGGUAAAUAAUGGCAAAAAAAUGAAAGUUAAAAAAUAAUUUUACUCAGGUGUUAUUUUAGCAUGUUUAAAAAAUAUUUUUUAACUUCAUUUGACUAUUAUUUGAAAGGUUUAACAUGGUAAAACCUCAAUUUUUAACCAUUCCCAACAUGCUUCUCAAAUAUUAUUCAAUUUGAAUAUUUUCAAUUUUUAUGUCAAAAUUAUCAAUUUCGAGUUACACGGCCGCGUAAGAAGAGAUACACGGUCAUGUAAAAUGAGCUACACGACCAUGUAUCUCCUCUUACACGGCCGUGUAUCUCGAGUUACACGAUUGUGUAAGAUGAGGUACACAACAGUGUAUCUCCUCUUACUCGGUCGCGAGUUACACGUCCGUGUAAUUCAUCUUACACGGUCGUGUAACUAGAGAUACAUGACUGUAUAGCACGGAUUAACACAAACAUGUAUCUCCUCUUACACGGCAGUGUAACUCGAAUUACAGAGUUGUAUAAGAGGAGAUGCAUAGUUGUGUACCUUCUGUUACAUGGCCGUGUAACUUGUCUUACACGGUCACGGCCGUGUAUUUUCUCUAAUAGGAGAUCUGUCCUACUUUAUCGAGAUUGGUUUUUGUAAGCUGAUCCGGUUUUUUUUUGUUUAUUUCGAAAAGCCAGCUAAAACCAGACCGGACCUACACAGAAAAAGAAAUUAAUCACGACGACAAAUAUCUUUGGUGUUUGGAGGGGCCAAUCAUCUGGAAGAAACAUUUUGAUAUUGACCAAUAUUUCUAGAUGCCUCGCUCCUUUGAACUCUAUCAUCCCUUUGCGAUUUCGACGAAGUUUCUGAGUUUACCAUGUGUACGAGAUUUGAAGUUCCAAACUUUGUGGGGUGGCAUUUAGUUGGAGUUCAAAAAUUAUCCUACUUUCUUCUGUUGCUUAAGAUAAUCAUUCAUUGUUGAUGGGUUGAAGUGUUGGCUCUUGUUGUUAUAUCUUGGUACUGCUUCAUUGUUACUUGGUUAGUUUAUUUGGUGUAAUCCUGGCCAUGAUGCAGUAUCUGGUUUUGUCUCUGCUUGGCUUUGGAUGGAAUUUGAAAUGGAAAUAUUCAAGACAUGUGAGAAGGAAACAAAGACAACAGCAUUCUCAAAAGAAGGACUUACAGUUCUUCAUGUUUAGCCAUAGAAAUUUCAGUAGAAAUCUGAUAUGAGUUAUGGCGGUAGUCUUUUAAUUUGUUGCAUGCUUUUCUUAUAUUAAUUCUGAACUCCUAUGCUUUUCUUAAUGAUCGUGAAUACCGAAUGCGACAUCAUAUGAACAAAGUGCAGUGUUUUCCCUAACGAAGAUAACCUCUUCACCCUGAAGUUAUCAAGUACCUACAAAAUAAGUAGUCCCAUCAAUUGUGAAUGAAAGAUUACUAUGUGUGAUUGAAGUAAAAAGCAUGAGGUAAAAUUAUAUAUUUACUUAACUAAAUAAUAGCAUCCCAUGUCUAGAAAAUUACCCAAGCUUAUUCUUGGACCGCAAUUUGCGCACAUAGGUGGAAAGACGGGAGACAAACCCCCAAGCAAUCAAAACGGCAACGCUUAACCAAAACGUCUCCGAGUCAGGAAACUCCGACGGCACAAAAUCCCCGAUGUCCAGCCGCCGCCACCACGCUCUACCGCCGGUGCCAGUCUUAUUCAGUCCCCGCCGCAAAAGCCUCGCCAAUCUCGCCCCUUUCCGCUUAUUAAUCCACGCCGUCAUCCGUCCGCUGAUUACUUGGCGACGCCACAUCAGCAACAUGACCUUACCAUAUCUCCAGCUCAUGGAGAGCAUCGCCACCAACAGUGGCGCCACUGCCAUGGUUAAGGCGUUGGCCGGAGUAAUGGCCAGGGAGGCGGCGUAGAGCACGAAAGGGUAGCUCUCGGAAUUGGCCGCGGUGAUGAUAUUCACUAAGCAUCGUCGGCGGCCGCGUGGUUUGUUCCGGCGACGUACGAUUGGGCUCGGAGGUUAAGCCCAGCGAGGAUACUGGGCUUCUUCCCGCCAAGGUAGUAGCGAUUCGUUGUGUAUGCGUAGUAAUUGAAUUUGUGCUCCAUUUGCUUCCCGCUGUUGAGUACCAGAAAAGCAUUAUGUUGGUUCCGGCAUGCUCAAGCGAGUAGUUGUUGAAUCUCAUGGCUUUUAAGUUAUUAAUAGACUGUGUUUAUUGGAUUCUUAUAUAUACAGAGAAAGUUGAAAGACUUUGAUAAGAAUGGUGGAGUUUGCUAGGCUACAAGAUUUUGUUUUAUGUAACGUUGUUUCCUAAAUAUGCUUUCUAUGGUUCUAGCUUGUUUGGUCUCUAGACACUUUGUUGCUAUCCGGCAAUAUAGUGAGUGGUACAUUCUGUGACAUGAGUUGAAGUGUUUCGGUUGAUUUGCGUUUGAACGGUUUGGUUUGUUGUGUUAAUGGAGUCGUCCAUUUUGUGAUAUGUUUUUGCUAUGAUUUUAUGAACAUUAGUAUAACGUGUAUGCUUAGUGAGGAAAAUUAGCAUCAAAAGUAUUGGUCGUGCUAUGUAAUUUGAGUGAUGCAAGACCUUUUAUGUAAUUAAUGGACAUUGUUGAGUAUCGAAAAGCGAAUAUCAAAUACAUAGAUGCGAUGUGUGUGCCGCGUUUUGAAUUUUGGUUAUACGACUAUUUAGGGUUGUCUACCCUAUAAAUUUUAAUUUUAUAAAAUAUGUAUAAGUAAAGUUAUUGUCCAUCCACCUUAAUAGAAUCAUAUUAAGGAGUCUUUGUCGAGUUUAAGGUUACAUCUUUCUCUAUUUUGUUUUCCAGCCACCUUGAUCAAUGAAUUGGGUUUCGAAUGAAAUUGAAUUUCUGAUAUGACUGCUGAAUUGCAUGUCGUUCUAUUUAAAAUAUAAUAUAAUAUCGAUAUUUAACAUCUGCAGAUUGGAAUUCUAUGAAAUUAGAUGACUGUUUUUAUAACGAAAAGUAAGAAAUUUCCACGAUGGAAAAACGCGGGAAACUAGCGAUCAUGAUUCAUGGCUUAUACGUUACAUGGAUUAUGAAUAAACGCGGGAAGCUAGAGAUCAUAGUUUAAAAUAUAAAAAAUAUAUUAAUUAAUGUAUCAAAUUCAAAUUACAUAAUCGUUAAUAGCUACCAUUAUUGUCUCCUAUAAAAAAAAAUUACAGAAGAGGAAAAAGCAGAGGAAUCAUUUCCUGACGUUCUUGGAGUAGAAUCGGAGCACCACAUACAGAAACAAUCUGUAAAGAACACCCCAAGCCAGCAAGAUUGCAACAUCAUACCAUAGAUUAUCCACCGUAAUAUCCAUCGACGAAAUCACAUCCUCUCCGAUCAACGGACACAACCCCGCCGGAUUCCCUUCACCGAUCAACCUCACAUGUAGAUCACUCGGCUUCACCUCCCCCAUCGGUCCAGGCGACAAAUCCGAAAACGUCCCGUUAUAACACCUCUCGCCUUUAAACUCGUUCGUCAGCAUCGCCUCGAACGGGUACUUAAUGGCCGAGAUGUAAUGCAACCACCUCCACCAGAUCGGAAUACUCGUCCGCUUCAGGAAGAAUCCACAUGUCAGGAAGAACAACGCGGUGGUCGCGAUCACGACCGCGUACCCGGUGAUGUAGCUCGGGACAAGAGCGCUUACUAACAUGACGUAAGCGUUGGUCGUGAUCAAGGACGAAAACAAAAUCAUCCAGAAGUUGAAGAGACUACUCUUUAAGUGGAGGCUGAACUUCGUGAUGGCGGCGAAGGAGAAUCCUUGCACAGCGAAGAACGGGAGGUAGACGAUUAAGGUGGAGACGACGUAGGAGGAUGCGCGGUAGGCGUUGUGGGAGGUCUCGCGGAUGAAGAUGAAUCGCUCUUGGAUGAAGGUCGGGACUGCGUCGUUAGAUGAGAAGAAGACUAGGCAGACUGCGAAGAUGUAGAAAUUGAGGAUGUGGUUGAUUGUUUUGAAGGAAUCGUCGGCGAGGUUUUUGAAUAGGGAGGAGAGGAUUAGUGCCAUUACGACGAGGACAAUCUCUCGAGAUAGGAAGAGCUCUGGUGUGCGAACCACGUUUAGUGCAGUCCGCCAGCAGAGGACCCCGACUUCGCGAAUCCAUGGAUUCGCGAAUUUUGGGCCGUGGUGGUCCAGAUCGUCCAGCGGUGUCGAAUCGGAGUAUUCUUCUUCGUCGAUUGUUUCGGAGAAGGAUUGGUAUGGAGAGGGAGAUGAUUGGAUUGGGGUUUUGGGAGGGUAAUUGAUGUUAGGGUUAGUGUUUCGUUGAGGGGUGGGGUAUUUGCUGGAAGCUCUGCUUCUAGCGGCGGAGAUUGGGGUUUUCAUCCCGCCGGGGGUUCUUGCGGGAGUCCAGGAAGGUGCUCGGCGGGGUGUACCGGUGAAGCCAUGGUAGAGCCAAACAGAGAAGUCUUUGUAGAAAUGGGAAGCUAAGCGAGGAUGGUUUCCACUCUGCAUAAAGUGAGGCAUUGGUGUGUUCAUCUUCAUGGCAGCCUUGCUCCGAUCCAGCGAGUUGUCGAAAUCUUCAUCAUCGUCGUCAUCAUCUUCGUCGUCAUCCUCGUAGUCGAAUUGAGCUGAGCGAUCAGCUCGAGGUGUAGCGGAGGAUGAGAAAUGGUGACUCUGGAGUGGGAUGGAAACUCUGAGUCCAGAAAUGCUCUGUUUGCUCCUGUAAGGAGUUCUGGGGGUUUUUGGUGGCUUAGGGAUAGGAGUCAUGGCUACUUGAUCAGGCUUGAUUCCUUCUCUCUGGUACAUCACCAGAGGAUCUAAUCCGAUUGUCGAUUCGUCGUACUCCUUGAUCACAUCGAUGAGAUACUCAAUGCUGUUUUCGCCAUCGGGGACUUGUCGGCCGAAUCCUGAUAGGUAAGCAGGUAGUUCCCCUGGACUUCCCAUGUACACCAGCCUUCCCCUGUUUUUUUUUUAUAUGAACAAACAUGUUCAGGAUUUCGAUAUUAUGAACGAUGGAGAUCGAUUCAGUAUGGUUACGAUAAUGAACCUGGCGAGCAUGGUGAUACGGUCUAAUAGGAGCUGGAUUCUGAAAGAAGGUUGAUGAAUGGUCAUCAACACUAUGCUCCCUCCACGAGCAAUGUCUUUGACCUUUUCGACCACGCUAUAAGCGCUGGUCGAGUCCAGACCCGAAGUUGGUUCGUCGAGAAACAGAAGAGGCGGCUUGUGGAUGAUGUCGACUCCGAUUGAUACUCUUCGUCGUUCUCCACCCGAGACUCCCCUCCUGCCUUCAUCCCCAAUAUAAGUAUGCGUUGCACUCUGCAUUAAUCAUAAACUGUUUAGGUAAACCUGAAGUAGGAAAUGAAAGGUCUAGGAGUGAAUGUUUCGUUUGUCACUAGUUAUAUGAAUCGUCUACAACUGGAUAAACCGUUCUUAUAACUAGUUACACAACGAAUAGUUCAUAACUAUUUAUAAUAAUCGUUUAUAAUUUGUUACGUACGACCUUAUAAAAUGAUUAUAAUCUCCGGCGAGAGAAUGUGUUACCGUUAAUCCGAGUUGGUCGAGAAGUUCAUGAACUCGCUUCUUCUUCUCGGCCCUCGAGAUCGAGGGAGGAAGCCUGACUUCCGCAGCGAACAUGAACGUCUCGAAGACGGUAAGCAUAGGGAAGAGCUGAUCAUCUUGCAUCACGUAAGAAGAUAUCAUCUUCAUGUAGCUGGUAGUCACCUAGUGUAUUUCAAACACACAAAGCAAUCAGCAAAAAAGAAACAGAACUCCGAUUAACCUUAGUCUCUCUUUGAGCAUAGCAUCAACAUUUACCGGCUUGUCAUCGAUCCGGACAGAGCCCUCGAGGCUGCCCUGAGCGAUCCGGCCAGCGAGCGCAUCAAGGAAAGUCGAUUUGCCCGCACCACUCGGACCCAUGAUGGCCAUGAUCUCACCUUUGGCAGCAUGUCCGGAGAUUUCAUUGAGCAAGUAAGCCUCUUUAGUGAUCCAUUCACCAUCUUUCUUCUGCUUCUUCAUCACACUGUAUGACAGGUCCUUGAACACCAGCCCCGUCCCGGGAUGAACCAUCUGGUUCAUCUUCAGAUGGUUCGUCCCGAGGUUGUUGUUUUUCCUCCUCAGGGCCGUCUCGUCCAUGUCCAGCAGGCUCUCGAGGCUGCCAUUCUUUCCCCUCUGGCUCGACCUUGGCGCGGCCAUUGUCCUCGUAAAGGGGAAUGCUUUGCUUUGCUUUGCUGUGAUGAAUGGAGAAGAGCAAGGAGUGUUGUCGGAGGGUAUAAAUGGGUUAAAGAGAGAGACAAAAGUGAACUGUGUGUAAGUCGUCAGUCAGUACACUUAGGGGCUGACGAUGUUGAUGUUGUUGGGUUCAUCGCCGAGUUAGCUUUUGCAUUGGAAUAAUCUGAGGAGGUGAAAUUGGCUGUUGUGUCGUGUUGUGUUUUUUUAUCAGCAUUGUCGCCCGGCUAAGUCUGUCAUUUGGUUGGCCAUGUCUAUGAUUGACUGUUGAGGAUGACUGGAUGAGAGAUUCAAGAAUGAACAAAGACAAGCCGGAUUGUUUGGGUCUGACCGAAAUGGUCAAUCGAACCGGUUAAGAAAACAUAUCAAAGCUAAAUCUGUUGCGAAUCGUAUCGCUAAACAUUGAAUUGUUAGCAUCAUUGAUUCAUAUAAAUCUUCGUUAUGGAACAAACGUCGACUAAAUUCAGCGACAACUAAGAAUCAUGAAAAAGGAAAUGGAAACACAUUGCGAAUAGCUUAAGCUUUGAUCUGUACAAGUUUUCAUCUCAAUUCCCAAGUCUCAAAAACUGUCUUUGGCGCGACGGAUGACUCCCAAUGCUUCGGAAUUGCUAGCCGUCUCAGGAAUCUUCAACAUUCGACGGAUCUCUGCACUCGAGGUCCGGAGGAAAGGAUUGCAAGCCUUCUCAACUUUCAGAGUAGUCGGAAUCGUUGGCAAGCUCUUGCUGCGAAGGUGUGCUACUUCCGCUGCAUAGGACUCGAGCGACUCGUUGUUGGGCUCAAUCGACAUGGCGAACUUUGAGUUGCUCUGUCGAAAAUGCAACAUGAGUGCCAUAACGUUAGCAUUCAGAGUAAAGCUCGAAACUUUGUAUAUGAGAUGGUGAUGGUGUAACUAGUUACCAAGGUGUACUCGUGGCCGCAGAAGAUCUUUGUUUCGUCCGGUAAAGAUGUGAUCUUUUGAAGGGAAGCAUGCAUCUGUAAAUGAAGGGUUGUGAGUCGUUUUCAUUCAUUGUUAAAACCUUAAGCUAAGAAGAAGAAGAAGAAGAAGAAGAAGAAGAAGAAGAAGAAGAAGAAGAAGAAGAAGAAGAAGAAAAAUAGUUUAGUUUUACCUCUUCAGGUUCUCCUUCAAAGAGUUUUCCACAUGACAAGCUAAACAAAGUGUCUCCUGUGAAAAUUGCAGCUGAUCCUGGAAAGUAGAAGCUAAUGUGACCUGCAAACAUCGAAAUUUUCGAUGUCGAAGUCAUCAUGGUUAAAUAAUCAUUGUUUCCUACAGUCUGCAUUCUUUAUCCAAACAAGUUUAUCUGACUCAACACACGAUAUAUCGAAAAGGAAAACCACACCUCGGGUGUGCCCAGGAGUUUCAAAGACUACGACCUCAUGACUGCCAAACAUCCACUUAUCCCCAUCAUUCAGUACCAUGUCAAUACCAGGAAUCCUCUCCCUAUCAACUCCCGAACCGAUUACCUAUACCGUAAACCAUUAAACCGAUUACCUAGACUGAUUCACCAACAAGAAAGAAAGUUGUCAGGAAUGGUUCUCACUUCUCAUUACCUUUGCACCAUACCUUGCUUUCAGCUCCUCAUUCCCACCCGUAUGAUCAUAAUGGUGAUGAGUAUUCAGUAUAUACGUCAAGUUUCGAUCUUUCCUACUUAGAGCAUCUAUAACCGGUACUGACUCCGACGGAUCAACAACCCCUACAGUGCCGGUGUCAGCAUCGUGUAACAGAUAUGCAUAGUUGUCCCUCAGACAUGGCACCUGAACAUUUCAAAACACUAUCAACUGCACGAAAAAGGACAUAGCAGAUGUUUGUAAAACAACAAGAUGGAACCUUUACCAAUUCAAUCUGCAAUGAGGAUGAAAUGCUUGAUGCCACACUACAGAACUGAGACACCUUAAUCGUGCGGCUAGCGCAUCGCAAAGUUUUAAACGGAGUCGACAUCAGCCACAUGAAUCCACACAAUAGGCUCUUUCGUGUGCUGAGUUGCCGAGCACCUGGCCACACUGACGCCGCACUCCUUGCCUGUGUAAUAGACAGAAGUUCACCACAUCUCAGAACCACACAGUACACAAAUCUAUAACAGCCAAGGUAGAGUCUUUCAGAAUGAACAAAUGAUAAACCAGCCAAGGACCUUCCUAGAACCAGCAAACUGUGAAAUCGCAACAAUUUGAGCAUUAUGUAGUACAUGAGAAAAUCCAUAUGAGCUGUUCCACCUAUUCCCUCGGUUCAUCAACUUAAUAAGAGAGAUAAAGUCACUUAAGAGAUUUCGUUCUUGUUUAUGGGCUAUUCAUACAUGAUCAAAUUGAAAGGAGCAUACUGUAACAGAAAUGAAAUGGAGCAAUGGCCAAAUCCAGAAAUGCAACAAAAUAAACAAGACAAGGAAUUCCCAUAUCCAAACAAAAGGACAAUCGCACAGUGAACAGACAAACCAGUGGUGGGAACCAACACCCAAGUCCUGAAAUCAGCUAAACAAAAGUCAAUCAUUUGAGAGCAAGGACGAACCCUAGUGCAAGAAGAGAGGGAAGCCAUGGCGCAGGAAGCCUUGGAGAUCAUUUGCAUAUUCGGAAUUUUUCUCCUUUAUUAUGCUGACUCUGUCUUUAAGGUGGGAGAGGAUUUUCACAGUGCUUCGUCUCGCUUAGAAAUAAAGAUUCAUCCUUUUUCAGAGAGAUAACAUGGAAAGGGAAAAAUUAUGUGCGAUGGGAGACUGGGUUGGCGUUGGGCAUUUGUCAGUGGGUGGCAGCUCGCUCGGUUCCACUCGGUUUAAUUGGUGAGUUCUGACUCACUGAGUUGGGUUGGUGUUUGGAUCCCAUGAAAUUUCCCCUCUCGCCGGUUUUGAACUCGAUUAGGGAGGUUGAUAAGCCGAGCCGCUAGUUUGACUUGGAAAAAUUUGUUUAUGACUCAUCUUGGUUUUAAGCGAGUCAAGUUUGAGUUAGUAUAUGUUCCACUUGAUAAAUUCGUGAGCUAGUUAGAGCUUGAAUUUGUGAGCCAAUUUGAAUACUAGCUCGACUAUACGACACUCGAGUAGACUCAAUAAAACAACAUAUGUUUUGCUGUGAUAUCGUAUAUACAAUAACAAACAUAUGUAAUUUAAAAUUGUGUUAAUGAAAAUUUAAAUAAUAUAUUUUAAAAUAAAUUAAUUUUUAAUUUGACUCGUCAAUAUUUUUAAUAUACAAAUUUUAAAUUCAUCUCAAAUUAAAAUUAUCUAAAAGUUUUUAUUUUUUAACGAAUAAUUGAGUUGCAAUUUAACUUCUCAAUGAUACUUAAUAAGUGAGGCUGAAUGAAUUCAGUAACCGUGCAUGAGCAUUCAUCAUCCUAGGGAGUUAGUUCGUCAAUUACGUAACAAUAAUUUCCAAACAAAUCGAACCUUUCAUUCUCUGACGGAAUCCACACCAACCAAUCAAAGAUCCGCAUUAAAAUCAGAUUCCCCCUGGUUCACAAUAACUCCAAAAAAAAUCACCCUUCUCCCAAAGAUCUCUCCUUUACCUACCAAUCAUCGUCACCCACCACUCACAACCCCCCAAAAAUAUAUUUUUCUUCAGUCCACUCACCCAAAGGUUUCGACUUUUCGAUGGGGGAAGAGAGUUUCGCGACGGAGAACGGCAAUGGCGGGAAGAAGAAAUGGGGGUUCAAGGCGAACAGCGGGCUCAUGGCCGCUUCUGAAAUCACAGUCCGUGGAGUUCUCAACAUUUUGAAUUCGAAACUGAACGGAGACGAUAAACGACAUGUCGUACCGCUAGGCCAUGGCGAUCCGUCUGCUUUCCCCUGUUUCAGAACCAGUGUUGAUGCAGAGGAUGCUGUGGCUGAUUCGUUGAGAUCUGGGAAAUUCAAUCAUUACUCCCCCACUGUUGGUGUUCUCCCUGCUCGAAGGUAAUAAUCAAUCAACUUGGUGGUUUAAGAAUGCAUUAAUCUGAGAGAGGAAUUGUGACGUUGGUGAUUUGGUUAUUUGGAUGAUUGAGGAUUAGAAAGAUGCACGGACCGAAUAGAGUUAAUCAAGCUAGGUGAAGACGAUCCUGCCUAGUGUCUAGCUCGCUUCGACGAUAGCAGAAUUAGGGGUGGAUGAACUCGAGUUACUGUCUAGGGCCUCUCGGCUUAGGAUUGGUGAAAUUAUAUGUUACCAAACGACCCCUAAGGGAUUGUGUGUUCAUGUUUGCAGGGCUAUUGCAGAAUAUCUUAAUCAGAAUCUCCCAAACAAGCUAUCCUCAGAUGACGUCUUCCUAACAGUCGGAUGCACUCAAGCAAUCGAAACUGCACUAACGGUUCUCGCUCGACCAGGUGCGAACAUCCUGCUUCCCAGGCCCGGAUUCCCUUACUACGAAGCUCGAGCUGCUGUGUCUGGACUCGAAGUCCGACACUUUGAUCUACUUCCUGAAAAGGGCUGGGAAGUCGAUCUCGAAGCUGUCGAAUCUCUAGCUGAUUCGAACACCCUCGCCAUGGUCGUUAUUAACCCUGGAAACCCUUGUGGAUGUGUUUACACUUACCAGCAUUUGAAGAGAGUGAGUCAAGUCAACGUUUUAAGCAUUUCCGAGGUGACUCAGGAUUUUUCUAUUUUUUGUCCUGAAGGGUUUUUCCUGACAGGUUGCUGAGACGGCUGAAAAGCUGGGAAUACUGGUGAUUUCUGAUGAAGUGUAUGCUCAUCUUGAUUUUGGAAGAAACCGGUUUGUUCCGAUGGGUGUGUUUGGAUCGGUUGUUCCUGUUUUGACGCUCGGAUCGAUAUCGAAGAGAUGGAUUGUUCCUGGCUGGCGGCUUGGCUGGCUUGUUAUGAAUGACCCGAAUGGCAUCCUGGUCGAAACUGGGGUUGGUUUUUGUUUCUGUGAUCCGAUCUAUUGAAUUGUGUUUGAUAUGUUGUGACUGACAUUUUAACACUUUCUAAUUGCAUUCUUUCGAGCAAGAUGGUUGAGUCGAUCAAGGGCUGCCUCGACAUCUCGUCCGAUCCUGCAACUUUCAUUCAGGUUUUGGUGCUCAACAUUCUGUUUCCUGACUGUACUUUUAGCAACCAAUGUGGUAGUAAUAUAUACAUACAUUUUUCGGAUCAUCAGGGCGGAGUCGAACGACUGAUCAGAAACACGAAGGACGAGUUCUUCUCGAGAAUCAAGACCUUGUUGAAGGAGGCCGCAGAUUCAUGCUUCGACAGGAUUAAGGACAUUCCUUGCGUUACCUGUCCGAUGAAACCUGAGGGUUCAAUGUUUGUUAUGGUGAAGCUGAACUUGGAAUCACUGGAAGACAUAGAUGACGACAUGGAUUUCUGCAUCAAGCUGGCUCGAGAGGAAUCCGUGAUCGUCCUCCCUGGAAUGGCAGUAGGUCUGAAGAACUGGCUUCGGGUUACUUUUGCAGUGGAACCGUCUGCUCUCGACGACGGGCUCCAUAGGAUGAAAGCAUUCUGCCACAGGCAUUCCAAGGCGUAGAUUUUCGAAAGAAGGAAACUUGAUCAACAGCUGGGAGUUGAUCAGUACUGUCUCUAAUGUUUGCUACUAGCAAUUUAGGUUUAAUGGAGUUGCCUGAUAUCUGCUACUUUUCUCCUUCAAAUGAAUGAAAAAAUUAUCCGAUUCAGCUCCCCAAUUUCAGUGUAAGUAAAUUAUCUGAACCAAAUCAUCCCGGGUUGAUCAUUGCCAGCCAAGCUUGAUGAUAUUUCUGGCGAUGAAAAAUCGCUGGUGCAUUUUGCGGUACAGAGCGAGGAACACCAACACACAAAGCGAAUCCUGUGUAUAUGAAAUUCAAAUGGUGUUUUCGUUUUCAUCUCCAACUGAAUCAAUGUCAGAAAUUUUCCAACGGAUUUCAGAUUUUUGUAAUCAAGCCGUCACUCUCACCAAAAAAUUUAAUAAUAUUCCUCUCUCUGUAGACUAGUCAAACUCAAGAUCGCAAAUCACAUUAAUCACCGAUAUUACUUCACUAUUAUUUCUUACUUAUUCUUUCUCUAUUCCUCCUUUAUUCGACUUUUAUCGUUAUAUACAUACAAUCUUCUUCGAUUUUAUACUAUUUCCUCAAGCCUAUAAAUACACAGCAACUCCAAGUGGGAAUCUCCAAGCUCACAAAACAAAAAUCAUGGGUCACUAAGCAGUAAUGUCGCCGGCGGACGGAAGCACAACCUCAUCGAAGUUCCUCGAAGCUCAGACGCGCGUGUGGCACCACACCUUCAACUUUCGUCACGCUCAUGUCACUAAAAUGCGCCGUCCAGCUCGGUGCCCGACCAACCCAUCACCCUUUACAAUCUCUUUAUAUUCAAAAUCACUUUUGACCGAAUCACAAAAUAAAACCAUUGUUUUUAGAUUGAACCUCAUACAAUACAUGAUGGAAUAUAUUGGUUAUCCAUUACAUUAACUUUUUGGGUUUGAUUCUCUGGAAUAUGUACUUAAAGUUGUGGUUCAACUGGGUCGACCCAUGUUUGAUUCGGUGGAGGCCAUGGACCCAAAACCCAGACAAAUUAAACAUUUUUCCUUUCUAUAAAUAAAGCCAUUGAUAGAGCUUCAUCAGUUGCUAUAUUUUGUGUGUUAUCUAUAGCUGAUUUCAGUCAUGGCGGCUCAGAUUCACAAGCUCGAGGCUAAGUUUGCAAUGAAAUCACCUGAGAAGCUGGUGGGUUUCUUCAGGGACCAUGUCCACGACCUGCCGAAACUGGCUCCUGCUAUGGUCAAGACCUCUGAAGUUGUUGGAAAAGGGCUCAGAAUGGGUCAUGGCUCUGUCUUUCACGUGAUUUACUCCCUCCGUAAGUGUUCUUAUUAGGAUGUACCGGUUUUUGACAUAAAUGAUGUUCGUUAACGUAUACCAAGCUUUAUAUUGGUUUGAUAAGCUGGAGUUCCGAGCUUCGUGAGUGUGAAGAUAAAGGUGGAAGAAAUGGAGGAAGAAGCUGCCGGAAGCAAGUCGAUGAGAUAGAGGGUGAUCGAAGGCGAGUUGUUGCAGAAAUACCCUACUUACGUUGCCAAAGCUGAGAUUGAUGCCGACGGCGGGCAUGCUAAUUGGUCGGUGGAGUAGGAAAAGGCGGGUCCGAGCGUCCCCCUCCUCUCGAAUAUAUCAAAUUUUACAAAAUUAUGUGCAGAGGCUCCGACUAUUACUGAUUGAUGAUCAAUCAGAAUAAGUUGUUGUUUAUGUAUCAAACUUUAUAUGUACCCUUGAUCCAAAAACUACUUAUUAAUCAUCCACUUUGGACGAUUUAAAUACAUCGAGUUGGUAUGAAUGGAUUAAUUAAAUAAAAUCAAACACAUGAAUUAAAUCACUUUAUUAUGUUUUUUUUUAUUAUAAAAGCGUGGAGGUAUUUAAAUGUCUCCCAAACAAAGUUAAAUAAAUACUAGCGUUGGUCUGAAUCGAUUAAUUAAAUAAGAUCAAGUGCAUGGAAUAUUUGAUUGAUUAGCUAGUAAGAGAAAGAUAUAGUUUAUUUGUNNNNNNNNNNNNNNNNNNNNNNNNNNNNNNNNNNNNNNNNNNNNNNNNNNNNNNNNNNNNNNNNNNNNNNNNNNNNNNNNNNNNNNNNNNNNNNNNNNNNNNNNNNNNNNNNNNNNNNNNNNNNNNNNNNNNNNNNNNNNNNNNNNNNNNNNNNNNNNNNNNNNNNNNNNNNNNNNNNNNNNNNNNNNNNNNNNNUUAUAGAAUAUUUAUUUAUGAAAAAGGACUAUUAAAAAAACGGAAUACACGAAGUAAAAACAAACUGUAAAAAUAUAAAACUGGACUGCGUUAGUAAAAACGAACUUUGUAAUUUUUUCAUUAAAGGUAUAAUUUUUUACUGUUUUCUUCUUUAUCGAGUCUUUUCUUGUCAGACGUACCCCUCUUUAUCCAGCGAUAAGGUUAUUAUAUUAAAAAAGUAGGAAGUAGAUGUAUAAUGCACGUACGUCUCGUAAUUUUUUGAUGAAAUUGUACGUAUGGUUAUUAUUAGUGGGCAAGUAAUCCAACCUACUGUCAAUUGUCAAAUGAAAAUCACGACAAUACAGUACUCUCUACGUUCAAAUAAUCUUCUUCAAUUUUUUACUAUUUCAUCAAGCCUAUAAAUACACUGGGAAUCUCCAAGCUUACAAAAUAAAAAUCAUGGGAUCACUACGCAGUAAUGUCGCCGCCGGAAGCACAACCUCGUCGGAGCUCCUCGAAGCUCAGACGCACGUGUGGCAUCACACCUUCAACUUCGUCACGUCCAUGUCACUAAAAUGCGCCGUCCAGCUCGGCAUCCCUGACGCCGUCAACUCCAACGGCGGCCACCGGCCCAUCACCCUCCCUGACCUCGUCACCGCCUUGAAUAUCCCACCAACAAAAUCUCCCUACGUCCACCGUCUCCUCCGUGUCCUCGUCCACUCCGGCUUCCUCAUCUCCCACGGCGGCGAAGAAAGCUACUCGCUCACACCCGCCGGCAGACUCCUCCUUAAGGACAGCCCUUACAACGUGAGGGCGUUAGUCCUCAUGAUCCUCGAUCCGGCCAUGUUGGAACCCUACCAGUUCAUGAGCGAAUGGUACCGGAGCGAAGCAACCGGCGAUAUAACGCCGUUUUCCCUCGCUCACGAGGGCAGGUAGUGCUGGGAAUUGGUUGAAAUGCUAAAAAAAAAAUUGUUAACCAAAAUUAGUUAGUUUGGUUUCGGGUAGGAUUUUGAGAAUAUUAUAAUUUCGGUUUGAUUUCUGGUUAAAGUUUAACAAUACUAUCAUUCUAAAUUCAAACCCAGUUCAAACUUAAAUGAAUUUUAGACUAGCUUAGUUAGUUUAUUUCUUUUUUCGAUUUUGGUUAAUUUUAAAUUUCGUUUGCGCUAAACCAAAAUUAAACCAAACAACUUCCACCAGGAUGGUUUGGGAGCACAUGGCGGUGGACCCCGCACUGUCUGACGUGUUUAACGACGCGAUGGCCGGAGAUAGCUCCGUGGUUGGAGAAGUGCUGGUGAAGGAAGCGAAGUCGUUCUUAGGAGGUGUGGGGUCCCUUGUCGACGUGGCAGGUGGGACCGGGAAUAUGACCAGGGCGAUCGCUAUGUCGUUUCCGGAUAUGGAUUGUACUGUUCUGGAUCUGCCGCAUAUCGUUUCAAGACUUGAAGGUUGUGGUAACCUGAAGUAUGUUGCUGGUGAUAUGUUUGUUGCUAUCCCACCGGCCGACGUCGUUUUGUUCAAGGUAUAUGUCAAUUGUAGUCGCUACUUAGACAACAAACUUUUUCCUCAACGUGUUUUUUUAAUGUAGUGGAUACUACAUGAUUGGAGCGACGAGAACUGUGUCAAGAUCCUGAAGAACAGCAAGAAGGCUAUCACCACCACCAGAGAAGGAAAGUCCGGGAAAGUGAUGAUCAUCGACAUGGUACUGGACAACGAAAACCGGGUCGAUGAGAAUUCGAAAACAACGCAGCUCGGUUUCGACAUGGAGAUGAUGAUGAUCGCGAGCGGGAAGGAGAGGAACGAGAAAGAGUGGGGGGAGUUGUUCAAGGAAUCUGGGUUCACUAACUAUCGGAUCAACCCGAUACUUGGGAUUCGAGCUCUCAUUGAGCUUUAUCUUUGAAGAUGCUUAAAUCCUAUGAUAUUUCAAGAGUUUUUUUUUUAUGUAAGAUGCAUGUCGAAUCGGAAUAAGAUGAUCCAACCAAAUAUUUCUUAUGUCGUGCAAAUUAAUUGUUCUUAAUUAACACAAAGUGAAAUGACAUUUUCACCCCUUUUGCAUUCUCUGCACACCUAUCUUGCAUGAAUAUCGAUUCCCGGGUUCUUUUCACGAUCGUCACUAAAUUAUUAUUAUUCUUCUAAAUAGUUCGUCAUACAUAGAAUACAAAUAAAUAAAAUUGAAAAUUUAAACAUUCUUAAAAUCUUCAUAAUUUACAAGCAUUUGGAGCUUAUGCUUAUGCUGCUAAUCAUGUUGUCGUUGUCAUCAAGAUUUUGCCUGCUCCUUCACUUGUUCACAAUGAAAGGGGUGCAUCAUGCAUGAAUAGGUGUGUGAUCAACUAUAAGAAACUUAAUUCCAUGAAAAAGAACAAGCUUCACCAAUAACCUUUAAAUCUACAAAUACUAGCCUUGUUAAAUGAAAGUAUACAAAUGACAAGAUGAAACAUUACAAAGACUUGUCGAUGAAUGUUGGUCUUCAAACAAAAAAUAAUAGUUAAACUAUAUACAUAGAUUGUUAUUUAUCAUCGAAAUCAAUAACAGUUUCUUGAUUAUAAUAAAAGCAAUACAGCCGUUGAUGAUCAUCGCAAACUGAUGAAUUGUAAGCAUCGUAAUCGUUAUUGGUCGCCCAGUUGAUGAAUGGGAACUUCAAACUUUUUUUCUUGAAAAAUGAUAAAAAAUCACAACACUUAAUGUCCUUUUUUAAAAGCUCACCCCUCUCAAUUAGCAUAAACAUUCAACGACUACUUCAAACGAUGGUUGAAACUACGUCGCUUAGAUUGUUGUAAGAUCGGAAGAGCGGUUCAGCAGGAAUGCNNNNNNNNNNNNNNNNNNNNNNNNNNNNNNNNNNNNNNNNAACUUAUGUUAGUUUACAGUUUGGUUAGCAGUAGUUUGUUAGUCCGGUAGUUUGGACUUGGGAUCAUGGCCGAUUUCUGUGUCUCAUGAUCUGUUUUUUAUAGUUUGAUCUCACCAACUGAAUGUUAAUAUUAGGAAUAUUACUUUUAUUUAGUUUAUCUUGUACAUAUAAUUCAUGAGGAAGUUAAUAUAAAUUAUGUGAUAAAUUAUACAGUGUUGUAGUAUUUUAUUUCUAUUGUUAAGACUCAAAAUAAAUUUUACUAAAUUAUAACAUAUAUGUGCAUUAAUUCAAUUUUUCCUUUUAGAUGAUUUUUCGGAUGAAUCAAUAUUUAGAAGACCGUUAGUUUAUAUGCCUCUAAAACUAAUUCUUUAGUUUAACUAAAUUAAAAUGCCAAGUUAAUUAGAAUAUUUAGAGAUAAAUUUUAGUACUUAGAGUGGCAACUAAUCUAAUUGUUGUUUAAAGAUACUUUUAGAUGUUAAUAUUAUAUAUGUAUAAAUGAUUUAGAGGUCAAUGAUAUUUUAGAUGGAGACAAAUAACCUAUUUGUCAUCUUAACUAAGUUUUAGUGGCGAAUAGGUUAAUUGUUUCUAUGUAUUUGUAUCUAAAACUAAUUUUUGUUGUAGUGUAUAUUGUACGUACAUGUCAAGUUGCAAGCUAGGAAUGGAAUUUUAAACCCCAAAAAAUCGUCUUGAUAGUUGCGAAAUCGAGAUAGCAAACAUAAAUAAUAGUUAUCAAUUUACACAGAUCGUGAGAUUGAUUUCAAUACAGGUCGAGGGGCAUGAAAAAACCUAUCUCAUUAUUAUAUGUGCAGUUCUCUUAGCACCAUGUAGGAUCACCUUGAAAAUUUAAACUACAAUAAAUUGUAAAGCAAGCCAAAACUUAUGUAAUGGUUGUGUCACCUGUUACAUAUUGAGUAUUAGGUUGUAAUAGUAUGAAAAGGAUCAAUUGCACGUCCCCCUCAAAAUCUAUCUGAAAGCCCAAUGUGGUUGCCAAGAAAUUAUAUGAAUAUUUAUUUAUGAGGUGUGAUUAGAUUCGGAGCCACUAUAUCUACUUUUAAAAAAUGUAACAAAAAGGUACGUAUGUGGAUGGGGACAUGCCACGUUGGUUUGCAUGUAGUCCUUCCUAAAAUUCAUGCAUCAGCGUAUCAAUUAUUAGCUUGAAAUUCUUAUAAAAAACAUGAGCAAUCUCUAUCUACCAUUUAACACGAUUCUACAGUCGACUGUCGGCGACAACCAAAUCAGGAAUAUUAUUAAUGAAUUAGUAUGGUGCAAUGAUUUAAUUAGACUGUAAUGAGAAACGAGCUAUACUAAAUAAGCUAUUCAUAAUCAUGGAUCAAAUCAAUUACUAUGCCCAAAACUGUCAGUGACCUUAUUGAUGUAACGUCUCGGUUUGGUUUUUUUUUUACAUGAAACAUGAAAGAUAAUAUUAAUUUUCAAAUAAGCGGUAUAUCAUCCAACUUUAGUUGAUAAAUAGUUGAUAAAUAAGUAAAAUUGGGCCCUAUUCACCUAUAUAAUAGGAGAAUGUCGAUUAGCUUUACAUCUAGGUUUUGUUGAGUAUCUCAUGAUUAGUGAUUCGUCCAUCAACCAUCAACCAUCAACCAUCGAAGUGGACAACGUGUUGGGUGGCAAGAAAUAUAAAAUUUGAGGUUCUAUAAUGUUAUAUCUUUCAAAUAAUAGUCAAAUGAAAUAAAAAUUAAUUUUUUAAGGGUUUUGAUUGUUGUUGUUAGUGGGGAUGUGUGUGCUUUCAACUACAAAAAUUUUACCUUGAAUUUCUAGCGGUUUUCCACCACAUGCAUAAAGAAAAUCAAUAUGAAAAUUUUCAACAAUAAAAUUGUUAUUUAACUUCAUUUGACCAUUAUUUACAUGGGUUAUUAUAGUGAAACUUGACUUUUAAGUCAUUUCCAACAUGUAUGUCAAAUAUUAGCCGAUUUGAAAAUGUUGAAAUUUUCGUGUCAGAAGGGCUCUUUUCUAUAGGUUAACCCCUUUGGAAAUUGAUCAUUUUCACUAGGUUAACCCCCUUGGAAAUUUAUCAUUUUCACAUGAAAAUUUAAAAUUUUCAAAUUGGCUAAUAUUUGACAUGUAUGUUGUAAAUGACUAAAAAUCAUGGUUUGACCAUGUUAAACCCUUCAAAUAAUAGUCUAACGAAGUUAAAAAAAUAUUUUUCCUAAGACGGUGUACUGCUAAGGUGUUAGGCUAGUCUUGGCAAUUUUAAAAUUGACUAACGUGUUGCAUGCAUGUUGGAAACAACUAAAAAUCUAAACUAAAUUAUGUCAAGCUUUCAAAUAUUGGUUGCUAGCGAGAGGGCUAAGUCACUAAGUCAGCGACUUGACUAAAAAUUUAAGUUUCACUAUAUUAAAUCCUUCAAUAAUAGACAAAUAAAAUUAAAAAAUAUUUUUAUUAAGAGUUUUAAUUAUUUUUGUUAAUGGGCAUGUACGUAUUUUCGACUACAGUUGAAUUUCUAGUUUGGAAAAUGGCGGGUGGGGGAGAAAGCGGUUUGGAGAAAGCAGCUACACAUCAUGGACUCCAGCUUCUUACACGUAUAAGAGAGAUUUAAGAAACAGUAACGGCGAACUUUCAUCGUCAGAGCAAUGGGUUAUGCACCGUCAGAUACAAAGUAUGAGUCUAAACCGUAGAUUAAGUCAAACAAAGCGAUUAGAAUAGGGAUAGUAACAUUCCCUAUGUCUUUAAAUUUCUUUUAAUAUUAAAUGGUUUCUCGUAGUCAUUUGGAGGUUAAGCGGAUCAAUUCUUACUUAAUGGUGAUUUUGAUUAACUUCAAGUAAGAGGUAACUUGUGCUUUAAAUCAAAUAAAAUCUCAACUUUAAUAAAAUACUUCAUUAACUUUUUUUCUUUUUUUGAAAUCAAUAUUUUAUUAAAUCAAUGACCCAUUGAAGAAAAGUUCACAUAGCUUAAACACUAAUCAAGAGGUUUCUUUCUAUAUAUGAGCAACACUAACAAACAAAAUCGAUGAAUUUUGUAAGCAAUCAUAUUUCUGUCUCUCCUAAUCCAUUCUACCCUUACAAUGGCUAACUACUAAGGAUUCUCCGACAAUGUCGAAUUAACUAGCUGAAUUGCGUGUGAUCCACUCCUGUGCUGCAGAGCGCCAUGGUCACUAGCUAGCUUGCAAUCGGUUUCAACAAUGGCCUUAUCGUACCCCAUAUAAGGGAUCCAUUCCAAGCCUGCCUUCACCGCUCGAGCCUCUUCCUCCCCUGCUGUAGUAAUUCCAGCCUGAAGGUGGCUUGUGCCAUAAAGAACACGUCGGUGGUUGUCGUUGGGGAUAAAGAUAACAUAUAUAAUUAAGGUUACAUGGGUGGGGAUGCCACGUUGGUUUGCAUGUAGUCCACUAUACAGUGCUGAAAUUAUAUUCAUUCAUCGGCGUAUCCAUUAUUAGCUUGAAAUUCUUGUUAAAACUGAGAUAUCCCUAAUUAUCAUUUAACACGAUUCUACAGUCUACUGUCGGCGGCAAAGUACGACAACUAUUAUUCCACGUCAUUAGGGCCCCAAACUGAUCAAAAUACAGAUCAAUCACAUCAUUGGGGGUGUAGCCGAAUUACGAAAUUAAAUUAAUUGAUGAAUUGAAAUAUUGAAGAGACGUAUCUAUUGAUCAAAUCAAUCUACAGAACCCAAAAUUGAUACAUAUUUUGAUGUUAGUGUUAGAAAUGGGUAAGGUUUGGUUAUGAGUUUUUUGGUAAGGGUGUGCAUUAUCAUUAUAGUUAAAUUCAUAACAAUUACCGACCUGUGAUUUAAUUUUUAUUUACUCGCAUUACUAAAUAACUGAAGCUUAAUGAUAUUUAGCGGCCAACCCAAUAACACCAACAUAAUUAGCAGUAGCGGUGAAACUAGGCAUGUGAGUUGGUUAACGGUCGAGCAAAUUGACAUGGACAUUCAAAUUGGUGUAACUUUUUAACCAACCGACCGACCGCCACGUUAAUUAACCAACCGUUAACCGACCGACCAAUUUAACCGACACUUUAAUGCCAAAAUUGUGAUAGUUUCCGUUGAAUUUGGGAUAAUUUCACUUAGGUUUGAGGGAAAUUUCAUUUUUUGGUUAAACACGGUUUACCGACUUUUAAUCGAUUUCACCGACCGAUCUAAUUUCAGUUAAACUGAUUUUUAACCGAUUCGAUCAGUUAACCAAUUUUAACCGAUUAACCGAACCCGAGUUCCCAGCCUUAGGUGAAACGCAAUGGUUACUAACAUUUCAAAUGGUGAAGCCCAUAAAUUAACCAUAAAUGCUACCGUUAAUUAGUUUCAAAUUGGAUUUGAAAAUUUUUACAUGGAUAAAUAUGUAUGUGUUUUCUAUUUUAUUUUGUAGUUUUUUGUAUAAAGAUGAAUACCCGUUGGAAGCGAUUAUAACCGUAAUUGUAUGAGUAUGGGGAUUGAACUAAACCUAUCACCACAAUAAAAAUAAAAAUAAUUAUGAUUAAUAACAGUCACAAAAAUAAAUAAAUAAUAAAUAUACUAUAAUCAUCGAUCUCCAAACCUCCUGUUGCCAAACAUUAAUUUUAAAUAUUACAAAAGAAAAAUAUUAUAUUGUACGUAUAAUAUUUUUCCAACUUGAAGCCUCUAAAAAACAGAGAUUACCCAAAGAGGAAAUACCCAAAGUGGUAAUCACUAAUCUCCACGAGAAAAAAAAAGACUUAAAAUAAACAAAAGUGAGAUCGACCUUAUAGGAUCAUUGGGUCAUCAAGUAUCACCGCCGACGAAUAAAUCAUAAUGACAAGCUCGGAGCUACUUGAAGCUCAGACCCACGUGUGGCACCACACAUUCAACUUCGUCACCUCCAUGUCGCUAAAAUGCGCCGUCCAGCUCGGCAUCCCGGAAGCCAUCCACUCCCACGGCGGCGGACAACGUCCGAUCACCCUCCCUGACCUCGUCGCCGCCUUAAAAAUCCCACCGUCGAAAUCCCCGUACCUCCACCGCCUCCUCCGAGUCCUCGUCCACUCUGGAUUCCUCAUCCGCCACUACUCUGGUGGCGGCGGAGGUGGAAGCUACUCGCUUACUGCCGCCGGGAAAUACCUUGUCCGGGACAAGCCCCUCAACGGCGGCGCGUUCGUGGUUAUGGUGCUGGAUCCGGUUCUGGUCAGCACGUACCAUGAUAUGAGCGCGUGGUUUCUAAGUGAGAAAGAUGAUCCGACGCCGUUUUACGCAGCUCAUGGGAAACAGGUUUGUAGGUUUUGAUAACGUGUCGGAUCAGUUCGAUCUUGAUGGUUAAUAUUGGUUCGCUACUCAUUCUAGUUUCGAGUGCAGAUAACAACCUUCAUAAAUAUUUUUUUUUUAUGUUGAAGUCCAUACCAAAUCCAAAAAAUGCUUAAUCAAAUAUAUAUUUUUCUAAGCGAAAUUUUACGUAAUUUAACCAGUCGAGUUUGGACAGAUAACCAUAAUUAACCGUUAUCACUAAUCCUAUACAGGUAUGGGAACACAUGGGUGACAAUCCAAAGAUGAAUGACGUGUUCAAUGAGGCCAUGGCGACCGAUAGCCGUCUGAUUGCUGAGGUGGUCGUUAAUGAAGGGAAGGCCGCUUUCGAAGGGGUGGCGUCCCUUGUCGACGUGGCUGGGGGGACCGGGACUAUGGCGAAGAUCAUUGCAGCUUCGUAUCCCGAGAUGGAUUGUACCGUGUUGGACCUCCCACAUGUUGUGUCGGGAUUAGAAGGGAGCCAUAAUUUGAAGUUCGUGGCUGGUGACAUGUUCGAAUCCGUCCCUUCUGCUGAUGCCGUUUUGCUCAAGGUAAAUUAUAAGUUAUCCUGAUGAAUUAACGAUAUACAAUGAGUAUUUAUAAAUUGACCUCAAUUUCGACGUUUGGAAAAAAAUGUAACACAGUGGAUACUUCAUGAUUGGAGCGACGAGAAUUGUGUGAGAAUACUAAAGAAGUGUAAGAAGGCAGUAACGACAUCUUCGGUUAAUGAGAAAGUUGGGAAAGUGAUCAUAAUGGACAUGGUGUUGGGUGGCAAGAACCUCGACGAGAGAACAAAGGCGGUUCAGUAUGGAUUCGACAUCGAAAUGAUGGUUAACAUAAGCGGGAAGGAGAGGGACGAGGAAGAGUGGGCUAAGCUCUUCGUCGAAGUAGGGUUCGUGAGCUAUCAUAUUCGUCCGAUUCUCGGCGCAAGAGCUCUCAUUGAGGUCUAUCCUUAGACUCGGUUUAGGAAGUUUCUGUUUCAGGAUUGGGAAACAAGAUUAUGAAUAAGUUAAUGAACGAAAUGCCAGAUCACAUCUGAUUUGACCAAAAAUAAACCUUCCAUUGCGUAUCCAGGUCAUAUAUGUUGAAAUUUUAGAUUUGAUAUGAAUAGUCAUUUGUUUGUAAUAAUUAGGUUAGUUAGUACAUCGUUAAGAAUUAAUUCAAUACUUAAGAAACACUAGUAUAGUGAUGGCUUUUGUUCGAUUAAUUAGAAACUAAUGUUACUAAGACCGAAAUUCAGAAUAAACCGGAAUUUUAAACUGGUUUUAGUUUGAGUUGUAGACUGGUUUCAAACCGGAUUUUGGGCUGAUUUUCUGGUUAGAAAACCAACCCAAAUUCCAGUCCCAUCCGCCAUUAUUAAGUCAAGAUUAAGGAAUAAUAGUUGGCGCCAUUUUAAUAUCAAAUGGAUAUGCAUUAAUUCUGCUUAAGAUAAAUAUGGAGGAGGUUUUGUGUUUGAACAGAUAUUUUCUUCAUUAAUCACAUCUUUUUAUGUAUUAUAAAAGGAGGUUUCAUCCUUUAUUUAACCCAACGAAAAUUAGAGAGCAUUAGAAAGAAUCAAGGUUGUAUCUUGACUGCUUUAAAGAAAAGUUUAUUUUUUUGGUAGAUGUAAUAAUUCUUGGUAAUCCCGAUCUAGUCAUUGUUGCUAUAUAAUUCUCGUGUACAUAUACGAAAAUCUCAUCUAUAAGUUCUCGAAGUUUUUCAAUUUCAUUAAACCUUAAUUUUGAAGGUGUUAGUAGUUUUAUCCUACGAAGAAAUUGCUUGACCCUAGACUUUGGAAAAGGGUAAGAAUAUUCUUUACAAAAAGUAUACUCGUACAUGACUCUACUAAAAUCCUAGUCACGACUUGGUUUAGUCGAUCACUGAUUUGGAUGAUUUUCAACCUUCGAGACAGAACAUUGACGUUCGAAUCAACACAUUUCAAAACUGUUUGGGCUCUUUAGUUACAAGUACACAAUAUUGAACUAUGUGGACUUUGAUCUCAAUUUUAUCGGGUACGUAAGCAGUUGAAAAACACAAGAAAAAAAAUCCCCAACAAUCGUAAAAGAAAUAUUUAUUAGAUGUGAUGGCUGGAACAGUUUCGUAAGAUGGUACAUUUCCUUACUAUAUAUAAAGGGACGUCAUUGACUAUGCAUUGAUAUGUAAUUGUCAAAGGGGCACCACAUGCGUGAACUGAGCAUUGGUGGAUUGGUGAAUAUAAAUUCCAAUGGACAAUUUCAUAUCGCGGUGCUAAUUACAUCCCACGAGAUCAUUUGUGGGGUGAUCGUUUGUUGUUUAGAAGAAUUGGUUGAAGGGUUUUCAACGAUGGCCUUUGGAUCAUGAUUUAUUUGUGUCAUAACUGAAUCUUUUAAAUGAUUAAGUUGUAUGAUUGUCACAAGUUCAUACACAAAUUUUAGUGGAGAUGUAUGAAAUUAUAUGAUUUAGUGUUGUUAGUGGGGAUGUAUGUGUUUUCGACUAUAAAAAUUUUAGUUUGGGUUUUUAGCAAUUUCCCAUAUACAGAAAGUAAGUUUAUUUGAAAAUUUUCAAUACUAACAUAACACAAAAUAAAAUUGAUUUUUAACUUCAUUUGACCAUUAUUUAUAGGGAUUGUCAUAAUUAAACUUGAUUUUUUAGUCAUUUCCAACAUGCAUGUCAAAUAUUAGUCGAUUUGAAAAUUUUGAAAUUUUCAUGUGAAAAUGGUCCAUUUCCAAAGGUUAACCCCUUUAGAAAUUGAAAAUUUUGACAUGAAAAUUUUCGAAUUUUCAAACUGGCUAAUAUUUGACAUGUAUGUUGGAAAUGACUAAAAAUUGAGGUUUCAUCUUAUUAAGCCGUUCAAUUGUUUGUUUGUUUGUUUGUUUGUGUUACGGUUGGGUUUGGUUCCCCUUGGCCCUUAAUAAUUGUUGUUUAGGCCGUAGCGCACGUCAGUCUGUUUGAAUUGGAUCUCUGUCACAGUUUCAAUUUUAAAUGUUAUAUGAUGUGGCCAUUGUUAAUUUGUAAAAUGGAUGUCAUAUCAAGUUUGUUAAUAGUGACGCAAAUACAUAUAUACACCUUCCCUAAUUUUAAUAGCGAUACAAAGGAAGAUUUGAUAAUACCCGUUGAAAANNNNNNNNNNNNNNNNNNNNNNNNNNNNNNNNNAAGUGUACCUCAAACAAUUGAUCAAGUUGCUGACUUUGUGAUUUAACCUUUUGACUAGCAGUGAAUAUUUGAAGACUUGACAUAGUUUAACUUAGAUUUUUAACUAUUUCUUGUAUGCGUGAAAGAAGUUAAUCAAUUUAUAAAAUUUUAAGACUCGCAUAACAAUAUAGCCGUAUAGUCUUACAAAAAAUAUAUUUUAACUUUAUUAAGUUUUUAUUUGGAGGAUGNNNNNNNNNNNNNNNNNNNNNNNNNNNNNNNNNNNNNNNNNNNNNNNNNNNNNNNNNNNNNNNNNNNNNNNNNNNNNNNNNNNNNNNNNNNNNNNNNNNNNNNNNNNNNNNNNNNNNNNNNNNNNNNNNNNNNNNUUAUAAAAAAAGAAUUUAAAUAGCUAAAAAAUAUAAGGGUUAUGAUACUUUGAAUAGUAUAAUAUUUGGAUCUGUUAUUUUAAGUAAUUAUUUUAGGAUUAAAAAAUUCAAAAAAGAAAUAAAAUGGAAUAAAUGCGGAAAAACAAACCAAGAUGCAAUUUAGAUGCACCAAAAUCACACUAAAGUUUGAAAAGGUGCGUAAAACCUCGAUUUAUAACCAAUAGUUGAUUUAUUUCAUAAAAUAAAUCGUCGAAAAUUGUAAAGGGAAAUUUAAUUAAUAGGUGUAUAUCUACCUUUCGUACGCCAAAUCUUAUAAUUAUGGUUGUCGAUCAUCUUGCUCACUUGUGUCACUCUGAUAGCUUACUCAUUCGAGGCAUUUUACUAAGUUCGUAUCGUGUCUUCCUACAAUUUUAAUCUAACUAAUUAGAUGUUUUCUGACCCGUUGUCCUUCUCGUAACCCCAUCUGAAUCAUGUCUAGAUGGGGUUAAAUGUUUUCUAAAAAAACUUGCUACACUAUUGCCAAUUUUUCAUUUGGCCGACAUCUAGGAAGAAAUUGUGGCCAUAAAUUCAUCACCUUUAGUCCCCAUCACAUUUAUGAAAUUCAGUUGCCAGCUAAGUUAGUAGGUGGUUGGUCGGUGGGAAAUCUCUAGAACUAACCAUAGCAACCAAAUCCUACCCAACCGGUUAAACCGAUUACAUACGCAUGUUCGGUCGGAAGGUUCAAAAAACUUAUUAAUCUUCCCGAUCAAACAUUUCCCAUCCAUCUCUUAACUCCUUAAAUUACGACAAAUUCUCAUUAAACCUUCAUUGCGGUCCCUAAAUAUAAUCUUCUCAAUCAAGCAAAUAAUUGUACGUAGUAUUUAGCCGAACUUAAUUCAACCCAUUCGGUUAGUGGAUUUCAGCCCGUAAGAUCUGUUUCUGCCAUCACAUGUCCAAUAUUAAUUACCAAUCUUCUCUCCCCUCACACAUCUUAAAUGAUACACUACUUCCAUCCUAUUUAAAUGAUAAUAUAUAAUUUUCCAUAUUUAUACGAUUCAACCGUUUAGUCAAUAAUUCAAUUCUGAUUACUUGUAAAAAUAUUAAUUCGAUCCUGAUUAACCCUCUAAUUUUCGAGCAUUUCUACAAUCAAAAUCUAACCGAUAAAAAAUAACACAAAAUAACUAAUUAUAAUUACCAUCCAUGACGACUUAAUUAGUUUAAUUUAUUAUUAUCGUCACCGAUCGAAAACCAUGGCAACAAGUGGGCCGUACAACAUCAAGUAGUAGAAGAUUAAAAGAAAAACAAACUGAAAAUUCAUUGGUAUUGCAUGAUCGAUGGACAUGAUUUCUUUACUCGUGUCUCAUAACCCAAACCAAACUUACACUUCCUUAACCGCCACGGGCUCGCCCGCCCCUUUUUUUGGUGGUGCUGCACCGACGGUGGUGGNNNNNNNNNNUGCGAGGACGCUUCCUUCACUGCCUCUUCGGGAACUUGAAAAGCGGUCGCGGGAAAAGACCUGUAAAGACCCGUCGGGGUCUUAAAGGUAAUUUUCCCCUCGUCUGCGGUGUAGAUGUCGGAGAGCGACACCCAGAUGAGAAGCUCCUUGGUCUUGACGCCCGUGAGCUUCUUGAUCUUGCCCUUCUCGACCACGGCAGUGACCUCGGGGGCGUAGCUGACGAGCUUCCCGAUCUUGUCGAACUUGUGGGUGAUGCUCUUCUUCUGCUUCAGCCACACGAACCCGGUCUCGCGAACGAUCCCGCACUCCUCGAUGUCGUGUAGGGGGAGGAGGCCGUUGGGGAGUUCGAUCUCCUUGAGGAGCUCCUUGGAUUUGACUUGGCACAUCUCGUCGCCUGUGUAGACCUCGGUGGCGCUGGCUCGGAUGGCUUCUGUUACUAGAGACAUGUUUGGUUGGAUUUUGGUGUUGGUGUUUGCUUGUUGCUGUUAGAGAGGUGUUCUGUUUUUUUUAGAUGUUUGUGUUUUGGUUUGGGAGAUAGGGAGAUGGGAGCCUUUUGAUGUAGAUAUAGUGUUGAUGGGGUGGGCUAUGAUGAAUUUGGUUAGUUGGGGGUGACAAAUUAUUGGUUUAUUGGGUAGAAAUCAUUGGGUUAUGAGUUACGAUUCCGUUGGGUUGUGAGUUUUUAUCUUGUUGGUGAUUUAGUUGGUUAAUUGAGUUAUGGAUUAUACUUCAACUUCGAUGAUGGGUUUAUUGGAUUACAGAUUUAAUUGGGUUAAGUGUGUAAUUUGAGGGUUUAGACGAGUCACUAAUUCGGUUAGUAGGGUGACGAACUGUGGGGUAAAUCGGGUUGCAUGUGUGUAUAGGUCAAAAGCUAAUCGGAUUAUUUACGAAUUAUAGGGUCAUGAGAUUGUAAGUUUAGCAAAUUGUUGGUUUAGUUAAUUGAGUUACGUGUUACUGAUUGAUUAAUCAACCGAUUACUAGUUUGAUUGGUUCAUUUCUUAUACUCGAUGAACCCGCAAUAUGAUUGGCAUAUAUAUAACUCGUAUAAUCUUAAGAAUCCAAUAUGUAACCGGUCCAACCGGCCGAUUGGAUAGGUUUUAAAUGUGGGGUGAGUGAUGGCCAUAGAAAUGGGCCAUGCUUCUUUAUUAUGAUUAAUGUGUGUGUAUAGAUGAGUGGAGUUAUUGAGUUAGGUGGGAAGAGGGGGGAGUGGGUAAAAUAUCAGAUGUGUAAGUAAAUGCAUGCGUUGGAGUGUGUUUGUUUGUUAUUUAUUAUGACUGGCUUAAAUUGUGGAGGGUGGCCGUUGCGUUUUCUAACCGUGACUGAAGCAGUAUAUAUGCUCACCGGAUGCUUCCAAAAUUAAUGCCGAUUUAAUUAACAACGUAUAUACACUAACGUAUCGUUUGAUAUCAAAUGAAUCAAAAACCGUAUAUUAAUAUUGUUUCAUUUCAAUUUCAAUGUUUAACUAUAUAUAUAUCGUGUUUGUUGCAGUGUUGCUAGCAUCUUUCUGUAAGCUAACUAAGUAAGUACCCAUUGGAGAAACCCUAAAGAAAACCUAAGUACUUUGCUUACCCAUUUGGAUGCCGAUAUUGUGCAACAUAUGUAUGAUACGUGUGUGUGUGGACAGGUGAAUGGUGAAGGUUGGGAAAACAUCAAUGAACUAACCCCACAACCUGUCUUGUCCUUUUUAUAUAUAUAUAUAUUACAUUUAAUAUAGGGGUUGAAUCGACCGUGUACGUACGCAAUUUGGAUGAAGUCAAGAGUUUGAAUCGAAAAAGAGCUUGAGAGAUUACAGGAUCCGCCACAAAUAAACUUUUAUUUACCACGCCAAACAACUUGUCAUUUUAAGAAAAAAUCUCAAAUUUUCUCAAAUUUAGAAUUGAUAUUCAAAAUUUAAAAUCUAAAAUUUAAAAUUUAAAAUUUUAGAUUCUAAAGUUAAAAAUCUAAAAUCGAAAUUUAAAAUUUAAAAUCCAAAUCUUAAAACAUAAUAUUCUAAACUUUAAAUCGAAACUUAGUUGUUUAUAAAAAGAAAAAAGAAAAAAUGAUAAAUUUAUAUCUAAUUUAAAUUGAUCUUUUUAUUUGUUAGAUCUGGCGUCCGAAAUAAACGAUUCAAAUUUUCUUUGUUGGCAUCCUAUGUCAGAUUAUAGCCUUUGUCUUGGCUUCAUUAGUGGCCGUCAAUUCCUUGCAAAAAAACUAUUGAUGCUAAUUAAGCCAACUUCUAUAUUUAAGGUCUAAUAGUGUCGGAAGUAGGGUAUAAUUCUCGAGAAGGUAAUAGUUCAAGCUACGUACAAGUCAUCAAGCUAAGACAUUAUUAGAUAGUUAAGAAUCUCAAUGUUAACACGAUUGGGACCAUUAAUUUUUGUGUCAAGUGAGAGUACUAGAGUUGCACAAUUUGACCUACCGAUCGUGCUUAAUCGUACAGUCGUUUAUUGCCCGGUUGAUAAGACAAUAUUUCAUAAAAAAUCAAACGUUUACAUUGAGUGAGGAAUCAUAUGUGUAAGAAUUCAUAUUUGAACAUUUUGUAAUUAAAUGAAUAGCGUGACGUGGCAUAGGUCAGCAAGGUUGGGCAGGAUGCACUAAUGUCGUAUGCAUGCAUGAUCCACGUAUGGGGUUUGGGGUGACCUCAUCCGGGCAUCUAGAUGACGUGGACGGAUCCGGAAUUUGACAUGGACCGGACACGUCUGAUGUGCUGGGUUACGUCAGCAAUACCGCAUCCACUUGUCCAUUUCUGCGUGUGGGCCCCAUGGUGACGUGGAUAUCUACAAAUGCCAAAUAAUUCCAAAAUUUGGCUUAUAGGGUAAUUGUGACGAAAUCAAUGCAAAAGCACUGAUUUUUAUUUUCUUCUAAUUACUAUUUAGCCUGGUUGAUAGGGUUGUCCAUGCUUGUCAUUACCGGAGGGUCAUUGGACUUUGAAAAUUAAACGGAUUGGUAUUUUAAUCAUGCAUGACUAAUUCAAUAAUUAUUUGUUUGGCGUGUUGUAACCUAGCUAAUUGGGGCAUUAUACAAUGUCUUGGAAUUGAGCAUAGUCAUGAUAGCAUGAGAAGAAUGUUUCCUAUCGACUUUAUAGUUCGAUGAUUGAUCCCCAAAUUAUUAAUCACCCGAAUAAAGUGAUUGUCUACCAUAUGUGGUCAUUGAUGUAAUCAUGUUGAUAGCCAAAUGAUUGCAUGGUGUAUCAUUGUUGAGGUGAUCUCCUAGGUGUUUGUUUGGUUGAUGAAUGAGUAUGUCUUGACUGAUUGUCUAACCGUCCAUCUGACUAGCUAUAGUAAUUCAUCAUCUAAAUUCCAAGGCAAUGAAGUAACGUAAUUGGUUGAUCAGUAUUUUCUAACUAGCCAAUUGACAUGUAUUUAUAUACUAUUCAUCCCGACAACAGUACUCACAUUCCAAAAAAAAUUAACAUAAGCGACCGUGGAAACAAAACAAAAUCAGUUUACAAAGUCGAGUAACCAUUCAAUUAAAACGUCAAAGUUUGGUGAUCAUAUAGUAUGAUUAGUGAUAUGACAUAAGCACACGACACUAGUGAAUCACCAUUUCACCGCCCGACAAGAAACUCCCCCACAGCCACGUCAUUUAUGAUGAAACGAUGUCGUCACACUGAUCUAAACAGCGUGUUAAUUGAUAAUAAUUAGCCACGAAAAGGAUCUCCACCCACAAACAGCCGUUGACGCCACCGCCCACCAUUUUCCCCAGUCUCCGCCAUUCGAUCAUCCGUAUAAAUAAUCAACCCCAAACCACCCAUAGUUAAAUCCUCAAAGCUCUUUCUGAAUUUUGCUUAAUUUCCUAACCACACAGAGUAAAAUGCAGGAGGCGAUUCCGUACAAGUCAUGGCAACCGCAAUAUACAAAGCAGCCGUUUUUAACCAAAGGCGGCGACAUCCUCCCAGCCACGGCGGCGCCGGCGGAGGUUGUGUCAGAGAAUGCCAUAGUAGUCUUCGCCAGGAGAGGCUGCUGCAUGACCCACGUCGUCAAGCGGCUGCUCCUCUGUUUAGGGGUCAACCCGCCGGUGUUCGAGGUGGACGAGGGCGACGAGGGUUGGGUUUUGAAGGAUUUGAAGUUGCCGGCUACGGUCGGAAUGCAGUUUCCGGCGGUUUUUAUCGGUGGAGAGUUGUUUGGUGGGUUGGAUAAGGUCAUGGCGAGUCAUAUCGCCGGCGAGUUGGUUCCUGUUCUUAAACAAGCUGGAGCCUUGUGGCUUUGAUUUCCAAGUGCAUUUUGUUAUUUUGUUAUUGAUCAUGUGUUAAUAGGGAAUGCAUAGAUUUUGAUUUAUGUCUUGCUAAUACGAUCGAUUUGUCUUAUUCGAAUGGAUCGAUAUUUCUCCGGUUUUCGUGUUGUACGAAUGGAAAUCAAGGAAGCUUAUUUAGUGGCUGGAUUUUCACUCCAAUUCCUUCCUCAUUCUUUCGUGAUCACAUGGCUGUCUGUGUUUCUAAGUUGAUCCACGGGUGUUCACUCACACUCCUAACCCGUCUCGAGCCCUAACCUCUAUCAACCUCCGCCCUCUUCCCUUUUCUUUUUCGGUUUUAGUUAAUAUGGAUGGUGUCUUGACACCUCCUCCUGAGUCCCGAGAGCUCUCGUCCCAAAAAGGUACGAACACAGAUUCGAAUGAGUAUGAGUACGGAUUCAAAUGAGUAUGAGUAACCGUCGCCCAUUCCAAAAAAAAUUCAUGAAAUAGAUCCAUUAGUCACGCAAAUAUUUUCAAGAUAUUUUCAUAUAGAUUUCACUAUCAAAAUGACUCAUCCCAGCAUCAGUCUCAACCAACUUGGAUGUCCCAAAUAUCUACAACAUUACCUACCCAAAAUCCUCGAGUUAGGUUUUACUUCAAUGUAAUUAACCACCUAACCAUAUGAUUAUCGUAUUUGAAUUCAAAUUCAGAAACAGCGAUUUGAAAACAAAUAUUAGUGUUACAUCACAUUGUGUCUAACCAAGAACCGAAAUCAUCAAGAACCUCGGACUUCGAGACUGACUGGGAGGAUGAGGAGGAUCCGGCUCCAGGAGGCAGAGAUUUCGAGUCUCUUGUGUUGUUGUUGUUCAAUACAGAGGAUGUUUCUUCAAGUAAAGUAUCAAGCAUGUCGUCCAAUUCUGAAGGUACAUUCAUCCUUGAGUUCUGCCAUACAGGGAAAGUAGUACCUGAAGUGGAGGUGGAAGUUUCGACGAGCUUGGUGUCACUGAACGAAUCGAGAAGCAUGUCCAGUUCUGCCUCUGCAGCUGCCGCCUCAAAGGUUUUAACUUUACUAGCAGAUUUUGGCGAUUGAGUGAGGGUCGGUUUGAAGUAGUCGUUGACUGUAGAGGUUGGUUCAUCGAAUAUUGCAUCAGCAUCAGAAAUGUCGGGGUUAGCCGAGUGUUCGGGCAUAGAUGUACUAACUGCACUUUCACUCAUUGAUGUCGAGUCUUCCUGAAUACGUGUAACCUAAGAUCCAUCGUCAGACCGUCACAUAUAUAUUCCUUGAUAUCCAACUAAAACAUGAAUCACAAGCUUAUCAUCCGAGAUUUAUAGAGUACGAGCAGUCGGACAAACAUCCAUGAACAAAAGGAAAAUGGAGCAAUGAGGUUCAGUAAUCAAAGGAAAACGAAUGAUACGUACCAGGUCUGGUGGUAAUAUAUCCGGUUCGAUGAACAGCCUCUUCGAUAUAUCUACUUUGCCCAGUUGUUGCUCGAGAGCAUGCAAGUUCAGUGAUAGAAAAGAUGCCUGUGUGGGUUAAAAUUACAGGCUUUAGACGAUCAAGAGAAGGAUGAAUGAGAAUACAUAGGCAAAGAUGAUUAAUUGAUCAUGUCCAAUGGUUCUAGGCUAACAAUGAAGAACAACAAUUCGAUUCAUUCGAAGCAAGUCGAUUACCUCAUGAAUAGCAUUCGCUCCAAUCUCGUCUUCCACAAUGAAAUUAUCAUUCAAAAUCCAUGACAAGAUCCCAUCUCCUCUUGCUGAAAGCAUCGGACCUAACGAGUGUUUGAACUCAUCUGCCAUAAACAACCAUUCAGUUCAAUCCUAUCAGAUCAUUUACCUUCACAAUAAAUGAAUGAAAUGAAUGUUCAUACUCCAUCCAUACCAGGCAAAACAUCGUCUAGAGAAAACGAGCUAUCCAAGAAGCCUCUGGAACGCGGCUGAGAUUGAGCUUCAGCAAGCAGAUGGCGGUAAUCUGCACCUUUGCUCUUCGGCAACGCUACACCGGAGGUCUUAGCUGACAUUUCCGCCGAAUCAGAAUCAAACUCUUCCUCGUAACGAUCGGAAUUCGAUGGCAAAGCGGACGAGGCAGCUUGUUUUCGAUCCUUAACCGGCUUUCCAGACGAUUCACCUGCGAUUCGACCAUCUCCGCCGCCUGCGGUAGCUGAACCGGUCGGUUUACAAGACGAGUGUGGCUUCUUGCUGUGGUGUAGAGAGUGAGCUCGCUUGGACUUCGCCAGUGAUUUGGCGUCCAUUUUUGAAUCGAGCUACCGAUUGUAAAAUUGGAUGAUGUUUUUGCGAGCUGAAGGGGGUACCUGAGGAUGGAGCUGAAGAUUAUUCUACGGUAGCUUGUAAUUAGAGAUUCAGACGACCACCGUAAGUUGGGAGAUGGUCAGGAGAUUGACGGAACGCAUCGGUCACCGCCGGCGGAUUGGAUGCGGAGGAAUUUGAAUCGGAAGUCUGACUGGACUUGGGAGUGAAGUAGAAGAAAGGAAGAGUAGAAAGGAUUUUGAGUAAGCCCAUUGGGCUGAGAUCGGAGAGCUCAAUUUGGGAAAAUAUUUACCUUAAUGAGCCUCUCACUGAAGUCCAAUAAAAAAGCCUAACAAUUAAUUGAGGAAUUAUAAUCCGAUUUUAAUUUAAUAUUCUGAUUUACUAUAACGUAGCUCUAAAUAGAAGGAAUCAAGAUAGAAAAUAGUAAUAUAUAACCAAUUGUUCAUCCAUGUCAUGGGUUCCAACUACGGGAUUGGCAACUUUGAAAUUGAAGUUGUUGGACUGUUUGAGAUAUAAUCACAACUUGAUUGAAUCAAUAGAGGUGUCGAUCCAUAAUAUGAAUCAUACGAAAACAAGCAAUUGUAUAAAAAAACUAUCAGUGAUACAUACUUAAGUUAUAUGUACAUAACGCUUAGAGGAAUCUUCUCAUCAAAAUGAUGAAUUCAUAUAGUUAAUUUUUGUAUCAUAUUUAUUAUUAUCGAUAUCAAAAUUACAGUAUAUGAGAAUUCAAUGUUCCAAAUUAAGAUCCUAUUUUUAAUAUUUGAGAUUUAUAGGUACAUUAUCCUUUCAUAUAUGAUCAAAUUAAAAAGGAUGGGAAAGUGUUAUAUGAAGAGUAUUGUGGAGUGAUCAAAUCAUCCCAACAAUGACAUUUAAAAGACCAUCUAUCUUUCCAUUCAUGAAUUUCAACAAAAGUAACCCUAAAAGAUCCACAAAUAAAGCCUACAUGAUUUUCUAUGACCACCAUAUUCUCUUUGAAUAUCUUCACCCCUACCAACAUAGAGCACUACUUGUCAUAAUUCAUUAAACUAAUUUUUAUUAGAAACUUGUUACAUUUCUUUGUACACGUACUUUAACUUGAUUUGAAAUUUAAUAACCCGAGACGACAGGAAAACAAAAGAGCUUCUCGAAAGGUCAAUAACUCAAGAUUCUUAUCCUCGUUGCUUGCCCUCCCAAAAGAGCGCUCACCAUUAAUCCAAUUGACUGCCCUUGAUUCUUCGCACACAUAUUAACAUCCAUGUUGAUUCUUCUUUCGUGACAUGAAAUUGCCACAUUUACGUUGCACUUUAUGUUCCAUAUAUAGGUACUAAAAUCACUAUCUCAAUGAAUGUUCUAUUAACCAGCACUCGACAAAAACAUAUUUAAAGUUACCUAAAAAAGUUAAACUCGAUUGCGCAUACUAAAACUAACUUCUAACCAAGUAUUUAACCACUCGACCAAGAAAAUCGGGAACUAAUUAGCCUUGAUCUGCUUAAUAUAACUUUUGGUGCACUAAUUAUGUCAAUGAUUAGUGACUAGUAAAUCACUAAAUAAGUAUUUUUUGUUUUCAAAGUUUAAGCUUAGUGGGGUUUUUUGUAGUGGUGAUAUAUACUAAGCUUGAUAAAGACACUCCCCAUAGCUAGGUUUCACUUUUCAAUUUCAUUAUCCUCUCAUCAUACAGAUAAUUUGAUUAAAUUAGUGCAUUGAUUAAUGUUCUGUUUAGGCAUUAUAUGGAGUCCCUCCACAUACUAUAUUAAUAUGGGGUCAAAUGCUUUUGUGGUCACUUAAAUAUGGGAUGGUAAUAUAGUGAUCAUUCAACUUUAAAAAUGUAACAAAAUGGUCAUCUAAUUUUGGACUAUGAAAUAGAGCAAUUCAUUACAUAUAAUGAGUUUAUCAUAAUAGUUAGAAACUUGUUACAUUUCUUUGUACAUAUACUUAACUUGAUCCAAAAUUUAAUAGUCCGGAACGACAUGCAAACCAAAGAACUUCUCGAAAGGUCAAUAACUCAAACACUUUAAACUCUUCUUUUCAUCAUCGCUUGCGAGCGAUAAUCAUUAUAAAUCCAAUUAUAUUGACCACCCAUGAUUCUUCGUACCCAGAUCAACAUCCAUGUUAAUUCUUCUUUCCAAUCAUGGAAUUGCCAGAUUUACAUUGCAUUUUAUGUUCCAUAGGUACUAAAAUCACUUCCGACAUAUGUUUUGUUAACUAGCACUUAACAAAAGUAUAUUCAAAGUUGAGUUGAACUCGAUUGUGCGUACCAAAAUUAACUUCUAACCAAGUAAUUAACCACUCGACCAGAAGAUCGGGAACUAAUUAACCUUGAUCUCCUCAGUAUAACUUUUGGUGCAAUAAUUAUGUCAAUGAUUAAUGACUAAUAAAUCACUAUAUAAGUAUUUUGUGUUUUCAAAGUUUAAGCUUAGUGGGUGGUUUUUAGUGGUGAUAUAUACUAAGCUUGAUAAAGACACUCCCCAUAGCUAGGUUUCACUUUUCAAUUUCAUUAUCCUCUCAUCAUACAGAUAAUUUGAUUAAAUUAGUGCAUUGAUUAAUGUUCUGUUUAGGCAUUAUAUGGAGUCCCUCCACAUACUAUAUUAAUAUGGGGUCAAAUGCUUUUGUGGUCACUUAAAUAUGGGAUGGUAAUAUAGUGAUCAUUCAACUUUAAAAAUGUAACAAAAUGGUCAUCUAAUUUUGGACUAUGAAAUAGAGCAAUUCUUUUCAUAUAAUGAGUUUAUCAUAAUAGUCGAAAGCUAAGGUUGGAGACACUAUAACACAUCAUCAAAAAUAUAUUAAAUUAAUGCGAUAAACAUAUAUAUCCAUGUUAAUCGAUUGAAUUCAUCUGAUUGUUAAGAAAGAUGAGUAUACAAAUGUCAAACGUACAACGAGAAAAAUUGAAACCCUUAAUUUGAGAUCAAAGUAUAUAUUGAUUGAUUGCUUUUUCUACGUCCACCCACGAUCCAAAAUGAUUGCUAGCCACAACUGCUUUCAUGACACACAAAACUCGAAACAAAAAAUCAAAAUCAAAACAAUCAUACGGUUAUAGAAACAAACCCCCCAUCAAGCACUUGCUCGGCCUUAUCGGUUCAAUUAUUUACUUAUAUAUUCAUGUAUACUUGACAUGACUAAAAAGUUGGCAGAAACGCAUUGCUUCGUUUACAUGGUCCAAACUUAGAUGACGAACACUCUUCUACAUUAUUCGAAAGGUUGGAUGACAGCUCUCUUACAUUCGAAAGUUGGAUGAUCACUAUGUUACUUGCCCGACAUUCAAGUGACCAUUCUUGUUACUUCAUCCAUUAGCAUACACAUAAAUUUCUCAAUCACAUAAAAAGGGAUGAAAUGGUGAAUAGGUUUGGUGGUCUCCUUUUUGAAGAAGGGGGGGUGUGGUAAUAAGAUUAGGACCCCUUCCAUUGUUGAAGUGGAGCUAGGAGGGUAUGGUGUGCUUUUCUUCUUUUUCCUCUACUCUUCCCUUUUUGGUUCUUUACUAUUUGCUUUCAUGCAACCCAAAAAAGAUAGAAUCUUUUUCCCCUCCCCAUGAGUGCAUUAUCAUUUGGGGUUUGAUUCAGGAUUUUUAUUAGUGGAUGCCUCUUUCUCCAUCGCUACUGUUCAUUACUUUGUUAUUUGUUUAGCUAGAGUCAUGGCAUGCAAUGUGUUGUGCCGUGAGCAAACUCAGUUUCAAGUUUGGUCAAAGUGGUUAGAUCAGUCGAGUUUGUUAGUUGUAGGUCACCUAUUACAAGUAUUUAUUAUUUAGUCAUAUGUAUGUAAUAUAUGAGUUGUUGUAAAUCCUUAUGACUUAUAAUUCUUUGGUUUAUAGUGGAGUUUGCAUUAUCGUUAUAUGUCUAUGAUUUUAUUCCGAAAGAAUUUUUCAUGUGAAAUCACCAAUAAUUCACCAUGACUAAACUAGUAUCUUUCAUGGAAUUUCAUAUCUCUUAAGAUUUCAUAAAUAGAUGGAAAAUUAGAGCUAAGAGAGCUAAAAGUGGAAAUAGCAAUGACUUGGUCAAAUAUUAUGUAGCCAACCACAAUGAUCAACUAGGUGACACAUCCAUACUUUAGUAUAUGAUAAAAAAGAUAUGAACAAAUUGAAACCAUUCUUGCCUGAUAAUAGAACACUUCAUGUCUUAUUGUUCCAUAUGUACAUGUUUGCUUGGAAUACCCAUCACUUGGCUAGCUAGUGUAGGCGGAAACAGGGGCUCCCUCGAAUCAUGGUGUAAUACCCUGACCUUUUUUUGAUAAGAUACUAUCCGUACAUUUUGAAUCUUCUCAAAUCACACAGAUCUAUUUUUGGUACGUACAUGAGGUGACUUCUUGAAAGGUCACCCGUCUCUGUCGUACUACUCAUACCAAAACACAUUUUCACUUCAUAACUAUUGCAGAGACUCAUACAUUACAUCCCAAAACGCAUUUUGCUCUUAGUAGAUGUCAGAUGUCUCCUUAUACCACUAGGAUCUUUCACGUGUUUUUCCUAUGUGGGUUUGCUCAAGGUGUUACCGUAAUCCAAUAAAUUUAACAUCAUAUAUACAGAAUUCGACUCGGUAUAUUGAACUGUUACUCAUCUAUAGUAAUAAUGGUCACUAAUAAUAAUGUAGGACAUGGAGUAAUGUGGAACUUUUUAUAAGGUAGAGACAACUUGUCCUCCAUGUAUAUCUCUAAAUUUGCUUUGUAAGAAGAACCCCUUUUGUUUUUUUUUGGAGGUAGCUAGGUAGCCAACAAACAAACAUGCCCUUAUGAUCAAUAGAGAAUUUCAGAUAUGUGUACAUAUUAUGUUUCCCUCCACUUGCUUCCCCAAAUCAAUUAUUCCACUCCACCCUUGGGAUGUACAUAUCAACAUCAAACAUUCAAUAAUUCUAGCUAUAGCUUUGGUCAAGAAAGGCAUAUAUUUGAUCUUAUAUUAAAAUGGAUUUUUGUCUCCUUUAAAUUCCUUUUUCACUUCCCUUUUUAUAUUUUUUCCCAUUUUCUUUUUUCUUUGGAUGGAGCUCAUUGUAUGGGUUUAACAAAUCUGAUGUAAUACGAAAAAGAUAUUUCUAACUUGAUCAAUUUUUUGUCUUCGCCUCCGAACAUCAAGUCACUUAUCUACUAUUUAAAGAGGAUUCUAAAUGAAAUGUGAUGAUGAUGAAAGUACCAUUGGAUUAUUAGAUUGAAAAUUUUGUAAAGAGGCAAUUACUUCCAUGUUCAUGGGUUUCAAAUGUGUAAAGCUUUCAUUUAUUACAAAAAAUUGUGUAAAGCUUUUGAUUUAAUUACCUUGAUUUAGUUCAGUGCAUCAAUAUAGUAUCGAAAUUUUGGAUCUUAAUUUUGACUCGAGAAAAGAUUAAAGUCACAUAUUUAUCGAUCAGACUGAAGUACAUGUAUAACAAAAAUANNNNNNNNNNNNNNNNNNNNNNNNNUUUAAUGAAAUAAAAUUAUGUAUUUUUCCAGAGACAAAAAGCAAAGCAAGAUAAAAGAUAAAUGUAGAUGUGUUAACUCACAAAAAAGUUGGCAUAAGAUUAUUCAGCUUUUCAUAGGCCAAAGGCCAUGUGUGAUCUGAAGGAUGAGUUUUCUUUAUAAUUUGAAAACUCCAAUUUCGAUUAGAAUUCAAUCAAUUAUAAUUUAUUUUCUUUGUAACCUUAUUCUACCAAAACCUACUUUGAUAAGGUCAUCCCAGCGAUCCUUAUAGUUGUCUCAUCGGCCAAGUGUGUGUCGGUGGUUGAAAAAUGUACUUCCUCUCCUCAAAUUUUCAGCAUUGUAAAAUUAAGGGAUUGUUUGUUUGAUACAUAUAAAAGAGAGAUCUAGCUAGCUAUUGUAUAUAUGGGAAGGUGGGUUCUUUUGAGGAAUCCAAUACAUAUAUGGAUCACAGAUUCGUGAGUAUAUAUUAAUUCACAGUCUAUAGAGCCUAAGGGUAAACGACAAGCAAAGAAACAAACAUACCCUUGGUGACAACAUUUUGCUUUUCUCCAUUCCAAUUUCAAACCCUUGUUUGUUUCCCCCAAAACCAUUUUCAAAGCUUAAUUAUGUAUAGUUUUUUAAAAAUAUAUAUAAAUUUAGAUCUCAAUCGGUCCUGAUAGAACUGGUAGACUUUUAAUAUCGAUAACGAUCUUCUAAUUGGUGUGAGUUGGUGGCAUGAACGGUUAUAUUGUAAUGAAUUAAGGGGGAACACCGCAAGGAAAAGGGAUUCAUAAAUACUUGCUGGUGGUAUGCGUCUUAUAAUUACUCUUGGGUAUAUUGUCCUUUGGCCCUUCUCUGAUGAUUGUCUGAACCAUACCUACAACACUUGUUCAAAAGACACAUAUAAACACUACAUUUCUGAAAUUCAAGGCUCGAUCGGAUUACCCUUAUCAUUUUCCGAGUCUGUCGACAAGGAAUUGCCAUGCACAUAGGUUCGAACUAUCCUAAAAUUCCACCUAAGAAUACUUUAAUUAAUUAUCUUUUUGUUCUUCAAUCGUAUCGCUCACGCUAAUCCGUCAUAGAUAUUUCCAUUUAUGUAUACGCUCCUAUAAAAUUCCAACUUAUAUAAACUGCUGAUUUACCUUAGACCGGACUUCUUUGACGAGAUCUCGAGACCUGCCCACUUGACCCUCCUCGACGACAGACGGGAUCGACUGAAGAAACUAGGUGCUACAUCACAUGUGGUUUGUGAGUAAUUCAACCCAACUCUUAUCUCUUGAAGAAAGGGGAGAUAAACUAAACAAACAUAAAAUUGAAAAUUAUUGAAAGAAGGGAAUUGGGGCAUUUGGAAUAACUUUGAAAACUGGAUCUGGGUUUUUGAGUGUUGGAGAAGGAGAGAAUAUUCUAAGGCCGCCACAGUUCAACAGCUAAAUGCCAAAAGAUUCAGUUUAAACAAAUGAUGUUUUCUUGGGGGGGAAUUAAUUAAAAGAGCAUAUCAUUAGAGUAUGAUUAAUAAUCUAAAGUUGUAGAUUUAGUGAUUUACCAAACAAACCACAAGGUCAGCCCACAAAGGGACGACACAUUCCCCCCAAAAUUCACUGCCUUUGUCAGCUGCCUGUCUAACCCCCCCAUCUACCAUUCUCAACUCUCAUUACUCACAUCAACUACCCGGGUCGACCCAUGACCGGUUUUUGCAAUUUCGAGAUCAGGGUUGAGCUUUGUUUGUAAUGGGUGGGUGCAUUUAGUCGAUUAAUCUCUUAACGUACGCCUGUCCAAAAAAUAGGUAUAAAAUUGAAUCGUAUUCGAUUUGGUAAAAAAGGAUUAUAAUAGAGGAAGAGUAGUAAAUCAUAAUAUAAACGGUGCAUGUGUUUGAACUAUAUACAAUACUAAAUCUAAAGAUGAUUAGAUAAUGUGGCAAAUCAAGUGGGAGGUUUACUUUAGCUGCGACUGAUUGAGUAGUCUUCUUUCAUGGAGAAUGCUUAACUAAAUUAUGUAAUAUGAGGUCCAAUUAUGUCAAUUUGAUUUAGUAUGUCGGAUUAUUUUAAAUCUGUCACCGACGAUAGAUCGUGAAGUAAUGAAGAAAAAAAGAAAAAAAUCUACCCAACUAACUUGAAACCAUGUUCUCAAUGUUAGGUCAAUCGUGGACUCCUUUAAAGUAGGGAGAAGUGGUGAGAAAACAAGUUGAUUCCCCUUGUCUUUUGAGAUAAUAAAGGCCUUUCGGUUCUUUUACACUUAUCAUAUUUGAAUAUUCAUGCAAAAUAUAAUUUUUUUUGUUUAGAUAGUUUAGAGUAAAAAUAUAAAGGUAGCAAACANNNNNNNNNNNNNNNNNNNNNNNNNNNNNNNNNNNNNNNNNNNNNNNNNNNNNNNNNNNNNNNNNNNNNNNNNNNNNNNNNNNNNNNNNNNNNNNNNNNNNNNNNNNNNNNNNNNNNNNNNNNNNNNNNNNNNNNNNNNNNAUAUAUACCCUGUCCGCAAACACCAUAAGAUCAUCUCAAUUAAGACGAUUGAGCGUCUAUGUGGGGCCUUUUGUGGAGUGUUUUGCGAUCAAAUUAUGAAUUUAAAUUAUAAAAGACAAUCACACCAAAGCAAUGGGUCCUCACAAGAAAAUAUGUACAUAGAAUCAUUUGCAAACUAACUGCAGUGGGAAAAAAGAAAAAAUGUCAGCCCAAUUUAUAGCAAACAACGUUGUAUCCCAACCCAAAAAAAUGUCCCAUACAUCCAACCUAUAUAAAAAAAUUAUCAAAAAUUAAUCAAAAUUGGUGACAAACUCUGAUCACAUCUAAUGUUGAGCAACCGAAAAAAAGCCUGCAGCAGAAAACCACUUCCUCACACUUACCAUAAUCUUUUAAAGAUACAAUUAUUUUUUUCUUUUUUGAAUGUGAUGACGAUUGAUUACAAAAUAUAUUUUCAAUUUUAUAAUUAAAAGUUGAUGCGAACAACAAACAAUAUGGGCUGAUGGCUAAGUGGCAAGAUGUAGGGUAAAAUCAGUUUCUUUCUACAACAAUUAAAAAGGAAAAUAGUAUUGAAGAUAGGUAGGUAGGUGGCUAUGGUCAAAUAAUUUCAACAGCUCGAUUUCUGUAACAAACAAUUAUUCCCUUUUAUUUUUCUGGCUGUUUUUUUUUGUUUCCUUUGGUUUAAUUAACUUGACAGUUGGGCACUUGCAUGGAUCGAUGCACGUGCAUCGCAAAUUCUUUUUUACCAUAGCAAUUUUACAGUGACAGAAUUUCGAAAAUAGUUUAGAGAUCUUGAACGAAAUUCAAAAACACAUCACAUAUUUUACAUGGAAUUUUAUCAUUUUGGAAUUGUGGAACUCUAGAAGCAAUAGUAACUUUGACUCGCUAGCCCACCCAUGAUUCUGCCUUUGAUUUUUGGCACUGAACUAGUUUGGUUAGGCUGAUAGUUCUUUUUUCCUUCCGUGGAUAAUUGAUUCGAUGCGUUACGUUAUUCUGGCCAAAUCGAAACUUGGAUGGUUCGACACAUUAUAUAUAUAAAUAUUGAUUAAUGGCAUGAUUAAGAUUGAAGGAAUGCCAGGUGUUACCAUGUUACAAAUUAACAACAUAUCUUCCAAACAAACCUACCCAAUUUACCAAACAAGGUUGCUAUACAUUUCUGUUCUUUAUUGUCGUAUUUAUUUCCAGCGGUGACGAAAUCGAAAUAGUUCAAUCUAUACUGGUUCAGAUUAUACGGAGUUCUAAAAAUAUUAGGACGCAUAUAAAAAUAUGUACUAAUCAACAUUUGAAGAUGAAGGAGAGUUCAUAUUAAACGAGUAGUUGGACCUAUAAAGAUGGUUAUGCCUAUGGUGGAUCUGAACCCGUUGAUCGAAAUUUAAUAAUUAAAAAAUUAUAACCGGUUUUAGUCAUAAUACGAUUUUAUGACUUAUAUCUUUUUAAAGAAUCUCGUUAUCCACGAAAACUAGAAUAAGAACUGAGAACACAAAUCAUGAGAUAAUCAUUCCAAAUAGUAAAAGGCCAUGAGAGACUAGUAGCUAGCUUUCCCCACUCAACUCAUCAUAUGUGUCAUCAUGCACCUUUGUAUAAAAAAGAAGAUCAUGGUUAUAUAUCUCAAGGUAGAUUCAAUUGAAACCCUCCAAACCCACCCAAAAAAUCAAACAAAUAAAAGCACAAAAUCAAGCCAAACAAGUUAUAAUCGAGUAAUUAUAAUGUCUGACUUUGUUUUUAUAGAUGUCGAGUUCGAGUUCUGAAUGUACAAUCAUUUCAACCCUACUAAUGACAUCACCAAUUUUACCUUGGCUGAAAGCUUAUAACUCCGAAGUUUGCCUAAGAAUCACAUUUCUAAAUGUGAUAUCCAUCAAAGGAUUUUUCAUUAUAAAAGAAAACACAAAAUCAUGUUCAAAUGCAUCCAUUUCCCCAAGCUCCUAACUUUUAUUUUUAAAAGAGAAUGGCACCAUCGUUUUAUCUGGGUUGAAAAUUGAUAACCUCAAAAUUUAUUCAACGAUCACAUUAUUAAAUAUAAUAUUCGUUGAAGAGAUUUUUCGAUAUAAAAUAAAAUAAAAAACAAAAUCAAGUUCAAAUGCAUCAUUUCCCCAAACUCCCAACUUUCACUUUUCACCCCCAACAAAACCCCACAUUAUUCUAAUCCACUGAUCUGAAAAAGCAGAGAUUAAUUUAAGAUGACAAAAAGGAGGGACAGACAGACACAGAUGGAAAGAAAAGGUGGCAUAAAUAACAAAAAAUAAUAAUUGCAAUAUAUAAAUUAAUCAAUAAUUAAAUCUCCUACCUCCAUAUAUCAUCUCCUUCAUGUGUGUGUUAGGGUUAUGUUGCUGAAAAACCAGAAAAAAAGGACUUCCAUCAUUACAAGCUUUCUGGUUUUCCUUCAUCUGGGUUUCCUUGUAAAUGAUCAAAGAACCCUGUAAAUAGAUAGCUUGGAGCAAAAGCAAACCCCAAUAAUUGUAAGAUCAUGUUGGAGAAGAUGGGAUCUUCAGCUGAAGAAUCAUCAACAACAAUUCUCUCUAGUACUACUGCCUUCUCCCAUGAUCAUCACCAACUUCUAUCUUCGUCGGCAUCGAUCAUCAACCCUCCUCCUCCUCCUCCUCCUCCUCCUAAGAAGAAGAGAAACCUUCCAGGAAAUCCAGGCAAGUGUUUGGAAAUAGUUGGCUUAUGAGGGUAGAAUUUCCAAAAUGGAAGUUUUGAAGUUGGAAGGUUUUUAUGUUAGUCGAGUUUUAGACUUGAAAUGCGGUCUAGAGUCUAUGAUCGUCCUGGUUCCGCAACUGAGUGUAUUCGAAGUUGCGUAAAGAUCCGAUCUUUUUCAUCUUAUAGUUGUAAAAAGUCCACAUCUUUAGCUUAUAUGGGCAUAUUUCAAUGACUCCAAACUCUAAUCUAAAUUUUUUAAAAGGUUUUUAUUAGCAGGUUUUUAGGUUCGAAAUGGCGUUUUGAGUCUCCAAUCAUCCUAGUUUCGCAAUUGGGUGUAUCAUCCUAGUUGUGUAAAGACUCAAUCUUUUCCAUCUUUUUUUUGUUGGGGCAGAUCCCGAAGCGGAAGUGAUAGCCUUGUCGCCAAAGACAUUGAUGGCGACCAACAGAUUCUUGUGCGAAAUAUGCGGGAAAGGGUUCCAGAGGGAUCAGAAUCUGCAGCUUCACAGGAGAGGACACAACCUGCCGUGGAAGCUCAAGCAGAGGACUAGCAAGGAGAUCCGGAAGAGGGUCUACGUAUGCCCCGAGAAGAGUUGUGUUCAUCACCACCCAUCAAGGGCACUUGGGGACUUGACUGGGAUCAAAAAGCACUUCUGUAGAAAGCAUGGGGAGAAGAAGUGGAAGUGUGAGAAGUGUGCAAAGAGGUAUGCUGUUCAGUCUGACUGGAAAGCUCACUCCAAGACUUGUGGCACUAGGGAGUACAAGUGUGACUGUGGGACUUUGUUCUCUAGGUAAAUGGUUUGAUCAUAUUUUAAAUUUUUGUGUCACAGUUUGUGCUUCUUUUUUUAUAUACUGUUCUUGUUUUGGGUGUUGUAGUGUGUGCUAGAUAGUGAUCUUUGUGGCAGUGUCGCAGUGAUGUGUUUUUGUCUAGUUUGGUGGGAAGCCAGAUGGGUAACGUUUCGGUACAUUUGGCAACUGAGUACACUCUAUCACAUUUAUGAUAUUAAGAGUUUUGAGGUUUUCGUAUAGUGUUUAGGUGUUUACGAUAUAGUGGUAAGUGUUUAGUAUUUAACUUUGGGAUUUAUGAUUUAUUAAUUUGGAUUUAUGAUUACAAGUUAGAGUUUUAAGUACGAUUUAGAGUCUGGGUUUAUGAUUUAAUAUUUGAGAGCCAGGAUUCAACGUUUAGGGGUUUAGCAUUAUUCAAUAGCGUUUAGGUUGAAUGUAAAGUGUUUUAAAUUUAUUAUUUAGGUUUCAAAUUUUCAAAUUGAAGGUUUUUAGUGUUGAGUGUACUUAGUAUAUACAUGUACCGAAAUCUCCUAUUCUAGCUAUAUGUUCAUAUAUUAAUGCUAUAGGGUUUGUAGGAGCUAAGAAUGUGUGUUGUAGUAACUUAAAAUUUGCACACGUCAGCCAAGUUUUUUCUAAUUAAGUAUAGUCUUUACCUUGGGCUAACACUAUUCGAUGUUAGUGCCUUGAGCAAAAAUCUAUAAUAUCAUGUAAAGAACUAUUACAUUUUACAUUCAUGUUUAGCGGAAGAGGGCCAGAAUUAGUUUAUAUAAUAUUUAUGAAGAGGGAUGUGUUUUGUUCUAGUUUGGUGUGAAGCCACAUCCCUAUAGUCAUAAAUAAUGGCUAUAGGGGUAGCUAGGAAGGUUUACCUAUUUAAAAAAGUUAGUUAUUUUGGAGUAUCUUUUGAAUAGUCCUUUUAUAAGAACUCUUCCGUUGCACCCCAAAAUACGAGCACGAAUCUAGCCAGUGAUGAAUAAUGACGAUCGUAUUUGUAAUGCAGGCGGGAUAGUUUCAUAACUCAUCGAGCAUUCUGCGACGCCUUGGCAGAAGAGACGGCAAGGAUGAAUGCAGCAUCAAGCAUAACAAGCUUUAGCACCCUCAGCAAUUACAACAAUCUAAUGGGAGGCCAACAUCACCACAACAACAACAUUAUGAACCCUCAUAAUUUCUCUUCAAUGUUCAAGCCAAUGAUCUCCUCCUCAAACACCAAUGAACACCAACAUCAGCAUCAACAUCAACAUCCAGAGGAAGAAGAGGCAGAAUUAGUACUUAACAAUCAGCAUCAUCAUCAUCAGGACAGAAGUGGAUCACUAGCGUUUUGGAUGAACCAAGGUCUACACCAACCCCAACAUCAACAAGAAGUAAUAGUACAUGUCAUGCCAAAUGGUACUAGUACUAAUACUAGCCACCAAGAUCAUCAUCAGAUUCAGCAACUUGGUGGGUCCAUAACUUCAGGGGAAAUGUUUGUCCCUUGCACAUCAUCAAACCCUCAAUCUGAUCACCAACACCAACACUUCGAUUUAAGCUGGCCGAUCGUCGGAUUGAACAAUGUGAAGGAAUUAGGCCAUGGUAGUACUGAGCUUCAAAGUGUCCCUUCAUUGCAUCAGCAAGCAUCAGCAAACAUGUCAGCCACAGCUUUACUACAGAAAGCUGCUCAGAUGGGAGCAACAAGCUCAUCUGAUAACCACCAUCAAAGCAAGCUAUGUGGGUUGUAUGGUACUAGUACCAACUCAAAUUGUACUAGUACUAGUAGUCUAUUAUUUGGGAGCCUUCAUGAACUGGAGAGUCUCAACUCGAGUACUCAUAUGGAUCAACUUGAGCAGAUGCAAGUGAUGUAUCCACCAUUGAAGAGGCAGAGGACAUUUCAAAGCAGUGAUCAAGACUGUGGAGGUGGAGGGCAAACUAGGGAUUUCCUUGGUGUUGGAGCUGUUCAAGCUGCAGCAGCCUUAUGCCACCCAUCUUCAAUCAAUGGAUGGAUCUAAGCAAGCUUUUUUUUCUCAGUGGGGUUUGUGUUUGCUUUAAUGGGCAAAUGUCUUUAUUUGAAUUUUCUAAUAAAAUAAUUAAAUUUAAUAAUGGAUUAAAUAAUUGUAUGAUUAAUUAAGUGAAAGUAUGUAGAUUAGAAAGAUGGUGGAAAGGUGGUAUUGAGUGCUUCAUAAUUGUUGCUCAAAAGUUUGAAUGCUUAAAAAAAAUUGGGAAAAGUAAAGCUAGAUCCAUACCAUUCAUGCAUAUUCAUGUUUUGAAAGUAAUCUAUUUUCUUUUUAUUAGUGUUUCGUCCGGUUAGAUCAGGUGGGAAAAUAUUGGAUCAACCCGAUUGGUAAUUAUCAGUGUACGAGAAAAAAUUUAAACAAAUGUGGGUAUUUUGUUUCAUCGAGAUGUAUGGAUUGUUCGGGAAAAUUAAAGGAUAUGUAUGUCUAUCGCGUGUCUAUGUAACUCUUUUGAUGUCAAAAUAUCUGAAAUAUUUGAAAAAUAUUCGAAACCGACAUCAAAUGGUCACAAAACGAUAGCUUAAUGCUCCAGAAGGUUGCCUACAAUAAAGAUACAAAAAAGAGGUAUGUGGUAGCAAAAAGAAGGAAAUGAGAGUGUGAAACUGCAAGAAAAUUGCAUAAUAGUGGUCAAACUUUAAAACGAUUUGAGAUGUUAUGAAUUGUUGCAUUCUUAUAAUUCGAGUCUUUGAGAGAGGUUUCAGAUUGAUUUUUAUAUCAUACACUAACAUGCCGCCUCAAUCGAAAACUCUUAGAAGAACUAAAAUUUGAACCACUUCGAUAAGCCAUAUGUGCAAAUUAGAGGCCACCGCAAUUCAAAACGGAAAGCUAUUAAUUAUUUAAGAAGACUUAAAUGGCCAAAGCCUUUUGACUGACGGAAAGCUUCACACCAAGAACGCACAGCCCACGCACACCUGUGCGCCAAAAAACAUAUCACCAAACACUGACGCACGGCUGUGCGUCUCCUGUGCGCAGACGCUAGAAUAAUGGGCGCAAAGAUCAAGCACUGCUGUGCGUCUCCUGUGCGCAAAUGCUAGAAUAAUGGACGCACAGAUCACGCACUGCUGUGCAUCUCCUGUGCGCAGCUAAUAUAUUAACUGUCGUAUUUUUCACCGUGAUGUUCUUUUCCGGAAAAUAAAAAUAAUCUCUAUAGUGAUGAAUGACCUCGAUUACUAAUCAGUUUGAUUACCCACUCGAAUCAGGAUCAGUUCUUUCAUUGCUAGACAAAGAAGUUUUGUGUUAAGUGUUGUAAUCUUUAUAUUGGGUUAACCGAAUUUGAUGUUAAAACCUCGAGCAAAGUCUAUAAUGUAUACCAUGUCGAUAACCCAUUGCAUCUCAUGUUCGAGUUGUUGGAAGAGAGGUUCAUAAUUGAUUUAUGUAAUAUUUAUUAAGAGUACUGUGUUUUUGGCUGGUUAGGCGUGAACCCAUAGCCCCAAAAUCAACAUCAACAAGAAGUACUAGUACAUGUCAUGGCAAAUGGUACAUUACAAGUACUAAUAAUAGCCACCCACAAAAUAGCAUAAUAGUGACCAUACUUUAACCGGGUUCGAGAUGUCAUAAAACCGCUAUAUCUCAAUAACCUAAGUUGUUGGAAGGGUUCAAAUUGAUUUCUAUACUAACAAAACCCCUCAAACAGAAAGCUCCUAGAAAAAUUAAGGCAGUUCCGUAAGCCAUACACAAAUUGGGAGCUACCAAGAUUGAAAUCAGUAACCACUCGGUCUUUAACCAUACUAAACAUUCUGGGAUACGUUAAAUGGAUACCGUUGCUAAACAUUCUAGGUGCUCAAAACCAAAAAGGACAUAAGAAUCACACAGUUGGUUUUGAGUACCUAGAACUGAAGAAUUAGUUAUGCACAACUAUCCUUCUACAUAUAGAAAUUGACAACAAGGUUCAGAUUUCAGGGGGCUUCUGGGGUAAAUGGAGGUAGUACAAUACAACAUCAUUAAAACUACAACACUUAUAUAGAAACUGCCCUUCUUUACCUUGUCUAAUCAUCAAUUAAAUCCUCUGCUUAUCUCUAAGUCUACUUGCUAAUCACUGAAAUCCGAAGAAGAAGCCGUCCCAUCCGGGUCUCGAUCCUCGUUUUGCAUUUCGUCCAUCUCUUCAUCGGAUUCUGCAUUUAUGUAUCCAUCAACUUCCAGAUUCCUCUCUUCAUCUUCAUAUUCAUAUUCAUCCAUCUCUUCCUCUUCCUCUUCCUCCCGGUACUCGUCUUGGUCGUCCUCGUUCACCUCCAUAUCGUCAUCGCUUAGAGGCUGGAAGUCUCCGAGUUUCCCAAUCUCGUCGUCGCAAUCUGAUCUCUCUGAGCUACUGGCAUUUUCAUCCACCUCCACCGGGAACCUCG
rnacentral:lncRNA from 1 species